rnacentral:lncRNA from 1 species
AAAUGUGGACCCUGGUGUUCUUUUUGGAUCCAAAGAGUUCAUAACCAAGCGGAUUUACGACACCGUGCAGAAGGCUGGUAGUGAAGGACAUGUGUUGAACCUUGGUCAUGGCAUUAAGGUGGGGACUCCCGAGGAAAAUGUUGCCCAUUUCUUUGAGGUCGCAAAGGGGAUCAGAUACUGAAAGACCUUGGUUGUUGAAUUUGUUCCUUUCUCCCAGCCGGCAGAAAUUGUAGAUUCCACUGCUUGAGGAUAGAUGCAGGAAGCCACAUGUCUAGCAUAGGAUACCUGACGAACACAUCCUUUUGUGAUUGCUUAUGUGUUCUGCAUUUCGGUUUCCAUUUCAUUGUAAUACUGUAAGCACAUACUAAUUGGGGGUGUAAGAAAGUGUCUACUUGUUUAUAUCAUGUAUACUACUUGAAUCUUAUCCACCUAGUCGAGAAUAUCGAUUUAUAUUUGUAUGAAAAUAAUACUGUGGUCAAAAUAUGUAAGCUGUAAGUUGGAUUUAUUUUUCUGAUACCGUUCUUAAGCCUAACUUUGUGUUGAGCUCACUAAAUACCUGAUUAUGGUUUAUACUCCCUCUGGUCCUUUUUAUCUAUACCAAUCUAAAAAGACUCAGUGAGGAAGAUCCAACACACCUCGACCAUCCAUUAGUAUUAAUCCGACGGUCCUUAUUGUCUUAAUGGUGAGCAACUAAACAUGUUUAGUGCUAAACGUGUUUAUUGCUAAUCAACCCUUUCUCUCCCUGAUCACCUUCCUUACGUACCCUUUCACACGAAAGGAAACUGUCACAACAAAGCGCCGUGCGAUCCCCCUCCUUACGUACCCUUUCACACGAAAGGAAACUGGCACAGCGAACCUUCGUGUGAUCCCCUUCCUUACGUACCCUUUCACAUGAAAGGAAACUGCCACAGCGAACAGCCCACAACGCCGCCCCGUCGUCUCGCUUCAGCGACACACGCCGCCCCAUCGCCUCGACCCGCAACACCUUCAAGGACACUGCCCCUCACAUCUCCGUGCCGCCUCUACCCAUCGCCUUUGUGUGGCCUCGGCCGUAGCGACGCCAUCGCAACUUCAAGGACGCCGGUUGUCGGGGACGCCGCCUGGCCGACUGGCGGGGGCGCGUCGGAGGCACCACCUGGACCGCUCAUCGCCGUCGGACCUGUCAGGGACGACGCAUGGUCGUCCGUUGGCGUCGGGUCGUUGGACCAUCAUGGACACUGCCUGGACUUCCUGCCCGUCCCUCUCCAUCGGGCCCAGGUCGUCAACGCCGCCAUCAGGGGACACGCCGCUGUCAAACACGCAGCCGCCUGGCCAGAGGUCUUUCAUCUCUGCUUUCUUCAUUUAUUCCGGAGAAGAUUGAUUCAUGUUUCACUGAGCAGAAAAGCAGCAUGUAUGCACUAAAAACUGAACCCAAAUCAGGCCUCGUAAAACUGAACCAAAAGCAGCCUUGUGUGCACACAUUCAACAGUUAUUAAGCUUCAUUACCAACAUGCGCAGAUUAAGAGUAGGUAUAUCUUCAAGCCGGAUUAAGAUUACACCUGCGUUGUGCAUUUACGAGUUUCGCAUAUAAAAUUUGUCUAAAGCCAAGCCUAGUAAAGUUUGACCAAUUUUAUAGAAAAAAUAACCAACAUUCACAAUAUGAAAUCAAUAUCAGUAGAUGUGUCUUGACUUAAAUUUUCAUAUUGUAUAACUUUAGCAUGGUAGAUGUUGAUAUUUUUUCAUAUAAAUAUGGUCAAAAUUUAUGAAAUUUGACUUCGGACAAUUCUUAUAUACAGAGUAAAAAGGACCGGAGGGAGUAUAUCUGUUGGUGGUGAAGUUUAUUCAGAAAUUUUUACCACACUUCACCCACAGUUUGUUUACCAAGGAGAGGAAUCCCUAGUUGUUAGUUGUAUGAUGAUUUUGCUUUAAAAUCUUAAGUUUUGAGCUGUAGGCAUUUGUUUUUACCUGAACUGUAUGCAGCUUUUGAUGACUAGCCAUCUAUUCAGUGUUUCCAAGUAAGAAUACACUACAGCCAAGCUGGUUUAUUAGUAAGAAAAACGAUUGUAAUAGCCUGAUAUUUAUUAUCGCUGUUGAUGUUUUUGUUGGUAGUUUCUGGCUAAGCAAACUCGUGUGAUUCACUUAUUUUGAUCUUAUCUGAUACUCAACCAAAGGACUGCAAUUCUGAUACUCAGGUAGUGGUUGAUGCAAGCUAAAGCUACUCUCUGAGUUCACAAAUAUAAUAUGUUUCAACUUUUUUAUGAAUCGAAUGUACAUAGGUACGUUUUAGUGUGUUUGUUCACUAAUUUCGGUAAAUAUGUAGUUCAUCUUAAAAUAUCCAAAACAACUUAUAUUUGGGAACGGAGGGAAUAUUUCAUAUAUUAUGGUUGGUGCCAAACAACGAAAGGCAAAGGAUUAUGCCUGUCGGGGAUAUACCUUGCGGUAUGACCCGGCCAGAGUUCUAAACCGGCUGGGACUUGAUAAACCGGCAGGAGUUAAGUCAGACCAUGUUAAACCGGUGGCCAGUUAAAACAGACAGUUAAGACAGAUGGCUAUGACAGACGGUAAACCGGCAGGAGUUAAGUUAGACCAUGUUAAACCGGCGGACAAUGUUAAACCGGCAGACAAUGUUAAACCGGCAGACAAUAUUAAACCGGCAGACAAUGUUAAACCGGCAAACAGUGAUAACUGGGUUGCCAGGGGUUAUGAAGCCCAAGACGUUAUGAAGCCCAAGAUGUUAAGAAGCCCAUGAAGAUAAGCUAGAAUAGUUAAGUCUUAAGUCCGAGUUGGACUCUACAUGUAAUCCGCCUCUUCAACAUAUAUAAGGAGGGGUAGGGCUCCCCGAAGAGGGACAAGCAAGAAGAAACAAUCUUAGGGCUAGACACAAAGAGGAGAGACGGUUUACGGUGACUCCUUCGUGAUGAUAAUGAGACCUAGCCUCGAACAGCAUGUAGGGUUAUUACCGGAUGAUGUUUCUCGGGGCCCGAAGCUAUCCAAAUUCAUGUCUUGUGUUGCGUCUUUCGAUUCCGCUCAACCCCUCUCAAGCUAUCACAUAUAUGCGUUGACCUCACGACUAAGUCCUCACUCUAGGACAUCUGCCGUGACAAUUCCACGACAGUUGGCGCCCACUGUAGGGCCAGCGUACAGUGGUGUUAAGUUCUUGGAGGGAUCUUUCCUAGGAUUUCGAGAAGUUCGUAAUUUUCAGAUGAAAAGAGCCGGAUUACAUGUAUGUGCACCGUCAAACGCAGCCGGGUGAUCUGUUGUGGCCGAAUCACUUUCCGUUGCAUCGUUACGUGCACCGUCAAACGCAGUCGGGUGAUCUGUUGUGGCUGAAUCACUUUCCGUUGCAUCGUUACGAGAAGCGAAGUGCAAAGGGGAUUUCAUCAGUAUGUAUCAAAAUCAUCAAAUUACUGUUGUUUCUGUCUAAUUCGCUGAGUCGCCGCCACCGCGUACAGGAGUUACCGAGGCUAUUACCUGAAGCCGGAUCGAUUUUGCUUUUUGUCAAAUCUGGUUGCUAUAGGCAUACGAGGAAUCUACCAGGAAGUUAACUUAAGAGUUAAACAAAGGAAAGGAAAAAGGUGCUACGCAGGGUUAGCACGUGAAGACAAGGGAAGAAGUGACCCGCCGUGCCUAUCCCGCUGCUAAACCGCCCGCGCCGUAAAUCGGCGCCCAAUAUCUCUGCGUGUUCUCCUGAAUCGCCGUUUCUGCUGUGAGGAUCAGAAGAAAAUUUCGUGGACACCGGCUGCAAAGCUCAUCCUGUAUGUACCCCUGUCUAGAUUCGUCCACGUGUCCUCUCCUUAUAUUCGACCGCCGCAGUUCAUUCCGAUCCGUUCGCUCCUUCCGUCGGCUCGGGAGCGCUCGCUCGGCUCCAAAUACGUGCGAUCCCGGCUCCCUCACGAGGCAAGGCCGGCUGAGGCGGAGGCCCACAUAGUCAGCCCUUUUGUCUCCCAGUCGCCCGGUUCCAAGCCUCCGCGUCUUUCGUCCGCCGCCGUCGCCGCCGCCGCUGAUGGAAGGCACGGUGUGCCCAAACCAAGGUGAUUCCGUCUCCGGCGCCGGCCUCUCACUCCCCCACGCGCACCUCCAUCUCGCCCAGUUCAGAACUGGUGACCCCCUCCCUUGCAAGUCUAAAAGUUUGUGUUUCCUUUUGGCUGUUAGCAUGCAAUUAGCUCCUUCAGGUAAGAGGUUUGAUUUGCUAAUCGUACACGACCACAUGUUAAUCACAUAUUUUGAUUAAACUGGGACGAACGAAGUGCAACCUAGCAAGCUCGUACUUGAUCGGAUUGUUUGAUUCGCUCAGUCGAGCUACAAAAUCAAUUGCAUCACUAGUUUCAGAGUAAGAAAGUGUAGUUUCAGACCGAAGGGUGUUUAUCUUACAGGAGGAUGAACUGCACAUUAUUUUGCUAUACGUCUGACAACUAUCUGACCAAACUCACAUGCUAAUAAUUCAAUGCGAUUGGUGCAUGUCUUUGCAGUCGUGAAAGAGAAGUUUUCAAAUUGGCAAGGAUUCCUCCUGGUCCAACUAGCUAAGAUGGUAGAAAAGGGAACAAAGAGCAAACAGGAGGUCACCUACUCAUGCAGCAGUCAUGCUUCGCCAUCAUUCUACUGGACGAAGACCCCGAAGUACACCGCUGGAACAAGACAACUGACGCCAUGGAAACAACAUCAAUAAUUCCUGAUGAGUAGACUUCGUGACAAAUCGUGUACUAGUAUAUAGCUGAUUGCUCUCUCUGACAAUUUCCAACUAUAAUGUACAAUUGUACAUUGUAUCUUUUUUCAUCUAAGAUAUAUAUGAAUGAGGUGCUCGACCUCGAAGAUUUAAAUCAGAGGUCUGGAAAUCUGAAACUAUCGCAGGUGCUCGGCCUUGAAGAUUUAACACUUAACACAUUCUGUCGCAUAAUCAAUGCAAUCUCACAGAAAUCCAGAAAUGAUGAAAAACCAUACUCAGCGUAGUACAAAAUUAUACCCAAACAUUCUAAAUGAAGACAAAAUUCAGUCUACUACAGUGCAUCAAUUAUAAUUCAUAGAUACACCAAAUGACAUCAAAAAAAUUGUACUCCUUAUAGGCUGCCCGUAAUACUAAUCAUCAAAAGGUAACUUUCUAACAGCCGAGGACAAUGUGGCAUCCUGCUCAACCCCAAGUAAAAGACUUGUAAAUCCGCCUUGGAUAGAUGGAGCAGACAUGGUUGAAGGUUGCCCAUACACAUCAUUUGCAAAGGUUAGCAUUGUGGCAUUAGCGUAUCUGCCUUGGAUCAACGGUGCAGCCAUGAUCAAAGAUCGCCCUCGCCCAUAGACAUCAUUUGAAAAUUUUGGCAUGGUAUUAGUAAUGUCAAUACUACCAGCAUUCACAUCCUGUAUCAUAGAAUAUGAAAUUGUUCAUAAAACAUGCAAGUCAAAUAUGAAAAGGGGAUACUGACUCUGAGUCAAAUGGUUUACCAUCAUUUCCUUCGGAUCAAUGCCGCCAUCCCUAUUCUGUACUACAUUUUUUCGAUUUUCUCCUAAAGUCAGACAUAUGAAUUGAAAGAAAAGUAAAAGGAUUAACAAUAGAAGUAUAGAAUGGAAAAGGCUUGCUAGAAUGGGUAGGAUCGACACCUUUCUUUUUAGCACUUUUAUUUUUCUUCCCUUUCUUUUUUCAAGGGAGAUGGUUGCCCGUUUACGCUUUGCGCCUUUCACCACCUGAGGAACUCUGAAUGAUAUUGUACCAUUUAUUGUGUUUGUAGCACACUCAGCCGAAACUAGCGGAACCUCGCUCGAUUUUUCCUCCAUCUUGCUAAGAGUGUUAUCUGCUUCCAAGUCUAACUUAUCUAUAGCUUUCUCGAAAUCAUCAAGAAGUUGUUUUGACCGAGUACACUUCAAUGCAACUGAUGUAGCCUUCCUUGAGAUACGUGCAGCUUGUGUUUUCAAGCUUUCCUCCUCGGAUCCUUGUUUUUCAACAUAAAAUCCUCUUUUCGCAUAUUUUGUCCAUCUUCCUAGUAUAUAUUGUGGUGGCAAAAUGAAAAAAAAUCAUUCAUAUUGAAGACUUUGAAUGCAUGCUUGCACAAUAUACCUGCAAGAUAUGGACGUCAUAUUUCAUCAAGUUGUAUUACAGAGCAAAUUGCAUCAUAAAUUCUGUAUAUAUACCUAUGGAUUCGAACUUUUUGCAACAACAUGUAAUAGUUGUGUCCGUGGUAUUGAAUGUAACUUUUGCUCCAUGCUCACUGUUCAUAUGUGUGACCAUAUAUGUCAACACCGGACCGUCGGUUUGUAAUAGUUUACAAGAGAAUGAAAAUUGGCUUUUGAAUUAUGUUUCAAAUUCUGAAUACAUUCGCCUUGUAUAUGAUUCAGAUGCGGUCUUUAGCAAAGGAAAAUUUGGACUAUAAGCAACAGGUUUCUUUCGACGCGAACUAAAAUCUGCAUCCAACUCAUUUUCACGAAGACUUCCAGAAACCUUCUCACAUUCUACAAGGAGUUCUGAAAGACCAAGUCUCCUAUGAAAUCUUUGCUUGAAUACAUUAUUCAUACCUUCACUCCUUUGAGUCGAGUUCAUAUCAGCUGUAAAAGAGUCACGAUAGACAGCAGCCCACUUUUCCCUCAACUCAUACAUCUUUUUCAUCCAUUCAUUGUCCUCAAGGUUGUAUCGAUCCAACAAUUCAAACCAUUUUUUAUUGAAGUAAAAUUCUGACCUAUCUUCAUAGACACAUUUCUUAAAAUCAGGUAAAAACUUCUCAGGAUGCUCAUGAAUUACAUGCCCAUGAUGUUUUGCAGCACUAAGAUAAAUGUGCCACAAACAAAGCCGAUGACUUGUAUUUGGGAACACAUAUGCAAUUGCUCCGUCCAUGGCCUUGUCCUGAUCAGUGAAAAUAGUGUUCGGAUGCUUGCCUGACAUCGCUAUUAAAAAUGUUUCAAAGAGCCAAACAAAUGAAUCGAUACUCUCAUUAAAUAUCAGCGCGGCACCAAAAAUUACUGUCUGCUUGUGAUGGUUGGUACCAACGAAUGGAGCAAAAGGCAUUUCAAACUUGUUAGUCUGAAAAGUGGUAUCAAAUGAUACAGCAUCCCCAAAACAUGUGUAAUCCAUGAUAGACUGACCAUCUGCCCAAAAGAAAUUAGCUAUCUGGCCAUCAACUUGAUCUAUCUGAAUGGCAUAAAAAAUGUAGGAUCCUCUCUUUGCUUAUUUUUCAAGUAUUCCAACAGUGUCUGUGCAUUAUUUGAUUCUAAAUACUUCUUGCGCUCGCGACCAAUCUCAUUAUUGCAGUCCAUCUUUGAGAAUGGUACUUUGUCGGGUCCUCCGUAAAAUGCUAUCAUAAAGUCAUAUACCUGGGAUGGCUUCAUCCCGGCUUCCCGUAUCUGGCCAAUUAGAUGUCUAUCCGCUUCUAUAACACGUCUUUGGGACCUCAGCUUGUGCACCUUAUUGGGACUAGCAAGAUAAUGAUUGUGCUCGGUUAUAAGCUUUUGCACUGUCCAAAUACCAUCCUUGUUGACACUAAACUGAAUACGAGCCUCACAACCUGUCCUUGCAGUGUCCUUAGAUGAUUGGGUAUCUCGAUGGCCUUCGUUACUGCAAACUAUAUAUUUUUGAGAUAUACUUUUAUCACCUCGUCGCUUUGUGUGACUUUUUCUGACACUGAACCCAACCUUGGGGGCAUAUGCGUUGUACAUAUCAUAAGCGCUGUCCUCUGAAUCGAAAGCCAAUCCAACUUUUGGAACAAUCAAUGUUUGUCCAACUUUAUCAAUCGCCUGCCAUACAAUGAGUCCAGAGUUAAAUUUAUAUUACCAUAAUGUGAUGUGGGAAAAUGUUUUUCUCAUGCACUUUGUGAAUUUGUUUUCCUAAGCUUACUGAAGAACACAUAUUAAUUUUGAGCAGUCAUUUGCCAAGUAAUCAGUGCAUAGUACAGUACUAGAGUACGAUGAUCUUAUGCCGACUGUCUGAAUAGGAUAUUGCUUUUCAACCCGUACCUGCAUUCUUUGCUCUACACCGGCGACCCCGUCGUCCUGUUGACCUCCUUCUCCUAUCAUGGCGGUGGUCGUAUCCUCCCGGACUCCUCCUCCUGACAUGACGUGUGGGGCCUGCAAGUUCAUGGCGUGCGCACAGCCAUUCUCAUCCGCGAGAUUUAUGUGGGACAAGUCGUCGGCAGUGCCACCGUGGUCCGUCAUGGCCGCUCCCGUCCUUCUCGACGGUACUGCAGCUUCAAACUGCAGCGGCCAUGAAUAUCCUUCUAGGCUGAUGCGGCCAUGCGAAGGAGAGGAUGAUGAUGCGUUUGGGCGUGAGGCAAACAUAGUUGUGCUCUCCCCCGGCGGAGUGAGUGCCGGACCAGGGUUCCCUCGGCCGCCACUAGUCUCAUCUGCCAUGAUCAGAUCGCCGCUAUUCAAGGGAAGCAGAUGCUAUCAAUCACAAGUAUGCGUAUCUAAUUGAAAAGGCAUAACGACGGGAGCUGAUUGCCUGCAGUUUUUGCAGCCGAGCGGAGCCCAGGGAGCCGGGAUCGCACGUAUUUGGAGCCGAGCGAGCGCUCCCGAGCCGACGGAAGGAGCGAACGGAUCGGAAUGAACGGCAGCGGUCGGAUGUAAGGAGGGGACACGUGGACGAAUCUGGGCAGGGGUACGCACAGGGGCUUUGCAGCCGGUGUCCACGAAAUUUUCUUCCGUGAGGAUCGCCUCCGCCCCGCAUCAUCAACAAGUUACCAAGUCAACGACCACCUUUGGUUUGACCCUGUAUUGGGCUGCCCCCAUUGGUUCAACGCCGAAUCGAGCCGCCCGCUGCGGUGUCAUUAUGCCGUCUCUCCUUGCUUGAAUCCUGAGCCGCCCCGCGUGUCUCACUACUCCGGGUUGCCCUCUGCCUCGCCAGUUCAAGUCGCCAUGAGCCACCACUAUCCCGAGUCGCCAGUGAACUGUAGGUACGACAUUCAGUCGCCGAUCGCUCCGCCGGUUCUGAGUCGCUGCCUCAUCGAUAUCGCCAACCUGCCUCCGUCGGAGCUCUGGGAUGCUGGCCGCCUUGGUUUCGUGCCUCCCAAAGCCACCAUGGUCCGCCUCUUCUGUUGUGUUAACCCGCCAUUACCACGAGCCGCCCUGCAUCUGCUAUGAAUCACCGUUCCAAGUUGCCUGCUCAAACCGUUGUAGCUCUGCCUUACAGUCUCCAUCGAGCCGCCGGAGCUGUUGUGACUCCUCUGCCACCACGGGUCACGCCUCACCAUCGGGCCUCGACUGGUCCCCGGUUUAGCCACCAUCGGAUUUCAUUUCGACUCCGACCUCAAGUCACCUCCCCCACGACUGUCUUCAAACCGGACUCAAGCCGCUCUCUGCUCCGAGUCACCGUAGACUUGGGCCGGCUGCGUCUCCGCCGUCGCUUUGUGCCUCGCCGAUUCCCAAUCUGCAGCUGCGCCCAGUCGUCACAGACGCGACCCGCCAUCGGCUACGCUUGCUGACUCCGCCGCGUCGUUUAUCUCUGUUGCUGCCCUGCCGGGUUACGACCACAGAGGCGCCACGGGCCGCCACGGUCUCCGCCUCGGCUAUACGCGGGCCUGCGUCGGUCACUUCUACUGCUGGCCGCUUCGUUUCACUUCCGGGCCGCCGCGUCGCCGUGACUCGCUCCACCGGCACGCUUCGAGAUGGCCUCUGUAUCUCCUUCAACCUCCAAUACGGUCAAAUGGACGAGUUCUGAGCCGUUGUAGUGGCCCUUCAACUCCAAGUCACUGCUGCACGGCUCCGAGUCACCGGCGUGGCCUCUGUGGCCAACGCUGUCGCACCUUGAGCCGACACUGCCGCUUCUACGCCUGCGGCCUCAUCACGAUUGCAGUUCUCCUCCAACCGGCCGCCUCCACUUGAGUCGCCAAGCCAACGCUUCCGGGGCUGGCCUCGCCUCCGCUGUCGCUUGCCGCCAAACCGCCCGGCCUCGCGCCUAAACCGCUGGCCUCUGCUUCCAUGGCUUCAUCCGCCUUUGCCACCGUGAGCCGCCACGGUUUGAGUCGCCCCCGCGACUGCGCCGCUCUAAGCAGCCGGUUUACCUCGCCGCCGUGCCUUUGAGCUGCUCCUGCUGACGGUCCACCCCGUCGCUCAUCUUUAAACCGCCCCCGUGCUGAACAGCCGCAUCCUCGAGCUGCCACCUGACCCGGCAACGCGCCGCCUCGUCAAACCGCUGGCCCCGAAUAGACAAAGCAGUCGGCCCUGCAUCCUCGAGCUGCAGGAUACAGAGAUAGGAACGUAUCACGGCAAGACACCUCUCGAUGGAUGGAUAGAACGGAGGAGGAGACACACAACUAAAAAGAAAGAAGAAAAAAAAUCGCUGCUACUUCGAUUAGCAGUGGUCAGAGCGCUGCUGCAUGUGAUCAGAUAAAUAUAAUAGCCUGAAGCCAGCCUAAUUCUCGAGGAGAAGCAAACUUUUCAAAUGCACAAUUAUGGUCUACUAAAGAGGGUUAUGACCUGGACAAGUUCAAAGACGUGCACGUUUUACGCAGUGCUAAUCAUCUAUGGAUUAUCUGUUGGCUGAGAAAUCACUUUCAGAUUGAGUUAUUACACAGGUCAAAAGGCGCUACAAACAUUAACAGGCAUCUCAAUCAGCACUUAAGCAUCAGCCGGCAUCUGUCGAACCGCCGGUGCCGUCGUCGCGACCGACGCCCCUCCGUUUGUACGCGAGUCUCUGCGCCGGGUUGCUCGUACCGCAAGUUGCCCGCCUGUCUGCUACCAGCUCGCUCCUCUGCGUUGAACCACCGCCAUCUGAGGGAAGUAGUUGUCGGCUCGUCACCCGCUCUAAACCGGCUCUACUGUCGCUCGCCGCCAAACUGCUUGUGCUCGCGCUUAAACCGCUAGCCUCUGCUUCUGCGGCCUCAUCCGCCUCACCGCCAAAGUGAGCGCUGAGCCGUUCCACCACGGGCUGCGGCCUCUGAUAUCGGAACCCGUCGGGCCUGUCUGAAACACACCUGUGAAGCUGAAACCGUGAAAGGUCAUCGUUUGGGGACACAGCGAUGGAUUGUUACGUGUGAUCUCCAACAACAUACCAUCGGUGUUGCCUGACAGUUGUCAUGGAUAUUGCAUGGACUUUCUUAUUGAAGCAUUUAAAGGGUAAUUGGACGAUGCGUGGACUGAAGAAGCACGAGAUGCUAUGAUUGAACUGGGCUAUAUUUUCAUGCAAGCCUGUACUGCUGAGCUGAUCAACGCUCGUAUAUCCGCGCCAGGAUUCCUCCAGAGCGCCUCUGCUCGCUUUCGCUGUAACACGCCCUGUUGACCCACCAAGCCCCGGUGAACCGUCCUCCCUCUGCGCAAGAUCCUGCAUCGCGAGCUGCCUGAUGCCUCUGCUCGCGAGCCGCCCCCGCACACCUCGUCGGCCUCGGCUUGCCGUUCGCCUGCAAACUGCUCUACGCCGCGGCCUUGCCAGUGACUUGCUUCUGAACCGACCGCCCUGGCCCUACAGGCUGCUCCCUUCCUACGCCCCUGCGCUGAUGGAAACAACAGAAGAAAAGUCAAAGUGGUUAAGUGUUGAAAAAAAAAGUUUUGAUCAUAUCAAAAGAUAUAUGAGGUGUUCCCGAGGAUAAAUACGCCCUAAUUUCUUGGAGUGAAGAUUAUACGAACUACGGCGAACUAUGGCAAGGCCCUUGAAAGGAUCAACACAAAAGUUAUUGGUUAUCUACGGACGCCAUAUAAUGAUCAUCUGUCGCCUAAAUAUCAGGUGAUAUUUAUCUUACAUAUUUUGUUAAGUACAUGUUGAUUUCCUUCGACAAACAACUACUCCGCUCUGCUGUAUUUUUUGUACGCAGGACAAUUAUUCACUACAAAUGUGGUUUAUACCACGGACACGGAGCACGUACUAGCAACAUUGCACCCGGACCGUCCCUCGGAAUUAACUCGUUCGUCCGCGCCGGCUUACAAUGCCGCGGUCGACUCAUCUGUCCGAGCUGCUUCUGAUGUUGUGGUCGCCUUUGUCGUUCGUCUCUUGCGGUCUGGUCUACAUCAACACACCGGGCUGCAUCUGUCUGCAUGAACUGUUUAUUGAGUAUGAGCAAGUCACUGCUUGGGUAGCCCGGUUUUUUCUUCCAACACAUUGGAGGUAAAUUAUCAUUCAGCCGCCGUUUAUGCUGGAUGACUCAAUGAACAUGCGCAUAAAUCGCUGCCACUACAGUUUGGUCAACUUCAAGCAACCGAUUGGAAGGAACCAUUUGCCGAGUUGCCGACACGGCUCAUACGAGAUCAUUUAUAACCCACCGCAGUCACCUCAAUCUUCUGUGGAUUUACAUCGCGUUAUUAACACCGAUGAUAUAUACCUUCUGCUAUGGUAAAGUACGGAGAAUUUCAAGACAACUCCUUGAGUCAUCUUAAAACUCAGGGGCUACGAUGAUAUGACGCAGCAAGUCUUGCCAGUUUCAGCAAAUUCAAGUACCCCAGGAUGUUGAAGGAAAACCCAUCCCGGAGGCUACUGUUAUAUUGAUAAAAAUUUAAAGGCCGUCAGAAGUAUUCCGGCUCACAAUGAUGCUUCCGGUUUAUAGUCCGGUUUAAGGGGAAUCCUGUCUCCCACACAGCGCUGAAGCCCUUAGUGUUUGGUUUAAAUCCGGUUUAAGAGGAAACUAUCCCUUACAAGGCACUGAAGCGCUCAAAUCCGGUUUAACAAUGUCCGGUUUGAAAAGGAAUUAACUUCUCGCAAGUUCGAGUUUAAAGGCUGUUAGAAAAUUUCCGGCUGAAAAUGAAGAUUCCGGUUUAAAAUCCGGUUCAAGGGAAAGAUGUCUCCCACGAAGCUUUGAAGCUUUCAAUAUCCGGUUUAACAUCCGGUUCAAGAAGGAUUUAUCUCUUGCAAAAAGUUAAAGGGUGCUAAAGAGGACCUGCUGCCAUGAUGCGCGGUUCAAACAUGGGUAUCAUGCCUUAUUGGCUUAUCAUAUUAUUGAUCACUUGGGGGCUUGGUCGUAUCCGAACCAUAGCUACACCUCUUGAUCGGUGCAAUGCCACAACAUCACUUGGGGGCUUUGGUCAUGUCCGAACCAUAGCAACACCUUUUGAUAGGCGUAAAGCCACAACAUAACUUGGGGACUUGGUCACUUCUGAACCAUAGUCACGCCUCUUGAUCGGCCUAGUGCCACAACAUCACUUGGGGGCUUUGGUAGAACCCGAACCAUCGCUACACCUCUUGAUCGGCGUAAUGCCAAUGCAUCAUUUGGGGACCUGGCUGACUCGAACCAUAGCUACACCUUUUGGGGGCUUGGUCGUGUCCGACCAUGGUAAUGCCUCUUGACCAGCUCAAAGCCUCAUUUGCAAUGUUUUUAUAUUUGCCUUUGCUUGAAUUUUGUUCUAUUUUAAACUAUUUCUUUUGUUGUGUUUUCAAACCGGCAUUAAUAAUCCGGUUCGACUGUCAAUUACAAAUUGAUGGAACACGAUUAAAUCAUAAUCCAGAGACUAUCAGCCCGGUCUGGUUUCGACUAUAAGUCGCCAGUAUAUAUUUGGAUUGCGCCAUUGGAAUCAUGCGCUCAUAAAUCAUUGGAUUAUAUUAUUCAAAUCUUCAAAUAGCCAACAUGGCUGGAUUUUAUUAUGGUUAUCAAUAACCAGUAUUAUGAUUAAGGUUUUCAAAGUCGCUUUAGCGCAAUGGCUAUUAUAUUAUCAAGGGAUAUGAUUUAUUUUACAAUUGAAGGAAUAGUCCCAAGUCGCUAUAGGCUUACGACCCGGCACUUGGCAGCUACAUUAUUCAACUUAAGAUUAUAUCAAAUAUGCAAGUCUCGUGUCGCUGCAAGCAUGCACCAUGACACUUGGGGGCUAAUGCAAAGUCAUUUUUAUUAGUCUUAUUGAAGACCCGACUCAUCACAUCAUAAUGAGCCGGCCCUUGGGGGCUACCAAUUGCUCAUGUCAACAAUUCAAGGUACACAAAUUUUUAUAUAUUAUUGAAGGAUCCACUGCUCAAUUGGUGGAGUACAAAGCUCUUAACCUUGUGGAUGUGGGUUCAAGCCCCAUGGUGGAGACUAUAUUAUAUGAUGUUAUUAUCAAUUAUAUACAAAGUCCCAGCUCAGUAUUAUCUUACUAAGCCGGCCCUUGGGGGCUACAUGUUGCUGUUCAAAUUUACAUGGUUAUAUCUACAAAGUCCCUGCUCAUUAUUGCAUAAUGACCCGGCCCUUAGGGGCUACACUGGUUGAAGUUUUCAUGAGCAUAAAGCAAUUACAAGUCCCAGGUUGCUGCAAGCAUGACAACCCGGCACUUGGGGCUACAUAUGUGGAAUACUUAGUUCUGACUAGUGAUUAAGAUGAACAACUUGGAUUUCUUCAAGCUUGUGACAUUCAUAUUGAAGCAAAUCUUAAGCUGUUACUACGUUACCUUCUUAACAUUUGAGGGCUACAAGUGAUAGGCAUAUAAGAGGUAUAUUUUCAAAAGCUGAUGUUAACAAAUCCAGUGCCAUCAAUAUUUGUAAACCGGCAAAGUUCUACAUUCUUAAACCGGCUGAAGAUCAGAUGAGUAUUUCAAAGACCAAUAUUUUUGUUAAGCAUUGGGAGAUGAGUCAAAGGAGUUAUUCUUCACAAUAUUUAUCUGUGACAAACCAAUGUCAGCAAAUUGAUUAUGAAGCUGGCCUAUUGACCCGGAUUUUCUAAAAGGAAAUGACAAGGAUUUAAAGAGGAUCAUGAUCAGUUUAACAUGGAUAAAUCCAAAUUAAACCGGGGGCUAAUGUCGGGGAUAUACCCUGCGGUAUGACCCGGCCGGAGUUCUAAACCGGCUGGGACUUAGUAAACCGACAUGAGUUAAGUCAGACCAUGUUAAACCGGUGGCCAGUUAAGACAGACAGUUAAGACAGAUGGCUAUGACAGACGGUAAACCGGCAGGUGGUAAACCGGCAGGAGUUAAGUCAGACCAUGUUAAACCGGCGGACAAUGUUAAACCGACAGACAAUGUUAAACCGACAUACAAUAUUAAACCGACAGACAAUGUUAAACCGACAAAUAGUGAUAACUGGGUUGCCAGGGGUUAUGAAGCCCAAGACGUUAUGAAGCCCAAGACGUUAUGAAGCCCAAGAUGUUAAGAAGCCCAUGAAGAUAAGUUAGAAUAGUUAAGUCUUAAGUCCGAGUUGGACUCUACAUGUAACCCGCCUCUUCAACAUAUAUAAGGAGGGGUAGGGCUCCCCAAAGAGGGACAAGCAAGAAGAAACAAUCUUAGGGCUAGACACAAAGAGGAGAGCCGGUUUACGGUGACUCCUUCGUGAUGAUAAUGAGACCUAGCCUCAAUCAGCAUGUAGGGUUAUUACCGGAUGAUGUUUCCCGGGGCCCGAAGCUGUCUAAAUUCCUGUCUUGUGUUGUGUCUUUCGAUUCCGCUCAACCCCUCUCAAGCUUUCGCAUAUAUGCGUUGGCCUCACGACUAAGUCCUCACUCUAGGACAUCUGCCGUGACAAUUCCACGACAAUGCCAGUGAGAAGCCUUCACUGAAUAUCUCGUAACAUAGCAUAUGUAGCCAUAUGUACGGCUGUAAGUGCAGGAGAUGCAGUGUUGCACUUUUCUUUUGACUUGGUAUCCAUCUUUGGUAGCUAUAUUGUUGUGAGCAUAACAAUACAGUCUUGGUAAUUUUGAUUGAAGAGCAGUGUAGCAGUGCGUUGAACAAUUUUUUUGCUGCACUUUUGAGCCACACAAGUAGAGUAACUAUACCUCGUGGGCUAAUGAGUCAAUCUUCUCUAGUUUACCAAUCUUUUUCAUGUGCUCACUCAAGUUUCCCGUCUCUGUGGUCGAUCAACUUAACAUCUGUGGAAAGGUGUAGGAUGCAACUCAUUGUAUUCCAUGGAGUAGGUUACAAUAUAUAUACAGGAUGUCUUGCGUGACAAGGAAACUAAUCCUACCAUAUCUCAUGUCUUGCGUGACAAGGAAACUAAUCCUACCAUAUCUCUAGAAGUAAGCUAUACAAGGUUAGAGAAGAUAGGAAUAGCAAUAUGAGAUAUGUCACGUUCAACACCCCCCCGCAGUCGAACCGUCGGCGUCGGCGAUGCAAAGACUGGAACGAAACUCUUGGAAUGCAGCGGUUGGAAGCCCCUUGGUCAUAAUGUCGACAAACUGCUGGGUGGUCGGUACAUGAAGGACACGAAGCUGACCCAACUGUACCUUCUCGCGGACGAAGUGAACAUCAAGUUCAAUAUGCUUGGUGCGCUUAUGCUGCACUAGGUUGGCCGCGAGGUAGGUGGCCGAAACAUUAUCACAAAAAACCACCGUAGCUUUCGGGAUUGGAACCCGAAGUUCACCAAGUAACUGACGGAGCCAACAUGUCUCGGCAACAACAUUGGAGACGACACGGUACUCGGCCUCAGCACUCGAGCGGGAGACGGUGGGCUGCCGCUUGGAGGACCAAGAGAUGAGAGAAUCAUCGAAGAAGACACAAUACCCGGACGUGGAGCGUCGAGUGUCAGGACAACCGGCCUAAUCCGCAUCAGUGUAGGCAAGCAACUUGGUGGAGGCGGAGGCGCGAAGACGAAGCCCAAAGGUCGGUGUGCCACGAAUAUACUGAAGAAUGCGCUUGACCAGAGACCAGUGAACAUCACGGGGCGAGUGCAUAUGCAAGCAAACUUGCUGCACUGCAAAUUGAAUGUCGGGUCUGGUGAGCGUAAGGUACUGAAGAGCACCAACAAUACUGCGGUAGAGAGCGGCAUCAGUGGCAGGUUGCCUGGCAGUAGCAGAAAGCUUCGGCUUGGCCUCGGCAGGAGUGGCAGCAAGCUUCCAGUCGGUCAUACCAGCGUGAGCCGAAGGACAACACAAAUCAUGGCGGGUUUGACAACCAGAGAGAAUGUCUCCGAGAAAUCAACGCUGGCACGUUGUGAAAAGCCACGAACAACCCAACGGGCCUUGUACCUGUCCAAAGAACCAUCCGGAAGAAACUUAUGCCGAAAUACCCACUUGCCGGUGAUGAUGUUAGCUCCAGGGGGACGAGGGACCAACGUCCAAGUCCGGUUGGCGACGAGGGCAUCAUACUUAGAGCGCAUGGCUGCGAGCCAAUGCGGAUCACUCAAUGCAGAGCACACCGAGCGCGGUACGGGAGAGAUGACCGAGACACUGAGGUUAUGAUAACGAGGGUUCGGUUGCCGAAUCCCGUCCUUGGCACAUGUCACCAUAGAAUGAUGAGGCGGCAGAGGCGGGGGCCGAGCCCGACGUCGAGGAGGGACCUCAGCCUCGGGUGAAGGCGAGGCCGCGGUGACAGUCGCGGGUGACGAGGCGGUGGUCGAGGCGGGAGAUGAGACCGCCGAUGACGGCGGCGUGACCGCAGCCGAAGCCGCGGACGAGGCUGCGGGUGGCAGCACCAGCGACGGCGACAGAGCCGCGGGCGAGGCCGAGGGUGGUAGUACCAGCGACGGCGACAGAGCCGCGGGUGGCAGCAACGGCGAUGGCGUCAGGGCCGCGGGCGAGGCCGCAUGUGGCCGGGAGGCCGCAACUUGCAUGAGCGGAGUCGCGCCCGAUGACCCAGCCGACGAGGCGAGGCCAGUAGAUGCUGGUGCAGACGCCUGCUGAGGCGAGGCCAGCUCCUCCUGAGCUGGCGAGAAAGGCCCCGCUGAGAGACCCGAAGGGCUCGCCAAAGGAGGAGGCGGGCGCGGCGAGGGAAGCACAAGGGCUCCCCGAGGCCGCCGGGUGGGAGCGUCCAAGGACGGGGGCUGCCGUCGGCAAAACCUGCUGAAAGGGAAAAACACCUUCAUCAAAGUAAACAUGUCGCGAGAUGAGCACACAACGAGAGACCGGGUCGAAGCAGCGAAAGCCUUUGGUGUUGGGUUGAUAGCCAAGAAAGACACAAGCGAUAGAGCGUGGUGCAAGUUUGUGUGGUGCUGUAGCGGUAAUAUUGGGAUAACACAAACAACCAAAGACGUGAAGAUCGUCAUAGGAUGGAGGAGACCCGAACAGAAGAUGAUGAGGGGUAUAGCUCCAGCGUGGUUUGCAGGGCCGGAUGUUGAGAAGGAGAGUAGCAGUGGCGAGAGCAUCGGGCUAAAAGCGAGGCGGCAUGUGUGCAUGAAAGAGCAAAGCACGGACACUUUCAUUGAGGUGCGGAGAACACGUUCAACACGUCCGUUUUGUUGUGAUGUGUAUGGACAGGUUAAGAGAAAGAUGGUGCCAUGAGUGAAAAGAAGAUGUCGAAUGGCGAGGUUAUCAAAUUCUUUUCCGUUAUCGGUUUCAAGAUCAGCAAUGGUGCGAUGAAAGUGGGUGUUGACGUAGGCAUAAAAGGAGUGGAGAGUGGAGGCAACGUCGGAUUUUCGGCGUAACGGAAAAGUCCAAGUGAAGUGAGAAAAAUCAUCUAAAAUCACAAGAUAAUAUGAUAAGCCCGAAUUGCUAGGCACUGGAGAUGUCCAAACAUCACAAUGAAUAACAUCAAAGGGAAAAGUAGCAAUUGAUGAAGAUGAAGAAAACGAUAGACGAACGUGUUUUCCUAUGUGGCAAGCAUGACAAGUGUGAGCCACUGAUUUAUUACAUGAAAAGGGAAAAGUGCUCAAAAUUUUAUGGAGAGCGUCGGCGCUGGGAUGACCGAGACGAGUGUGCCAAAGCAAAAGAUUGGCGUGAAGUGCAACCGGGCCGCCGCGGGUAGAGGCACCGCAUGGGUAGAGAUCAUCGGGAGAGUCAGUGAUACGUCUCCGUCGUAUCUACUUUUCCAAACACUUUUGCCCUUGUUUUGGACUCUAACUUGCAUGAUUUGAAUGAAACUAACCCAGACUGAUGCUAUUUUCAGCAGAAUUACCAUGGUGUUAUUUAUGUGCAGAAACAAAAAGUUCUCAAAAUGACCUGAAACUUCAUGGAACAACUUUUUGGAAAUAAUAAAAAAUCCUUGCAAAAGAUGAAGGUCAGGGGGCCCACCACCUGUCCACGAGGGUGGGGCACGCCUGCCCCCCUAGGGCGCGCCCCCUACCUCGUGGGCCCCUUGGAGCUCCUUCGACCUCAAAUCCAACUCUAUAUAUUUGGUUUUGGAGAGAAAAAAAAUCAGAGAGAAGGAUUAAUCGCGUUUUACGAUACAAAGCCGCCGCCAAGCCCUAAAACCUCUCGGGAGGGCUGAUCUAGAGUCUGUUCAGGGCUCCGGAGAGGGGAAUCCGUCGCCAUCGUCAUCAUCAACCAUCCUCCAUCACCAAUUUCAUGAUGCUCACCGCCGUGCAUGAGUAUUCCAUCGUAGGCUUGCUGGACGGUGAUGGGUUGGAUGGGAUCUAUCAUGUAAUCGAGUUAGUUUUGUUAGGGUUUGAUCCCUAGUAUCCAUUAUGUUCUGAGAUUGAUGUUGCUAUGACUUUGCUAUGCUUAAUGCUUGUCACUAGGGCCCGAGUGCCAUGAUUUCAUAUCUGAACCUAUUAUAUUUUCAUCAAUAUAUGAGAGUUCUUUAUCCUAUCUUGCAAGUGUAUAGUCACCUAUUAUGUGUUAUGAUCCGUUAACCCCGAAGUGCCAAUAAUCGGGAUACUUACCGGUGAUGACCGUAGUUUGAGGAGUUCAUGUAUUCACUAUGUGUUAAUGCUUUGGUCCGGUACUCUAUUAAAAGGAGGCAUUAAUAUCCCUUAGUUCCCAUUAGGACCCCGCUGCCACGGGAGGGUAGGACAAAAGAUGUCAUGCAAGUUCUUUUCCAUAAGCACGUAUGACUAUAUUCGGAAUACAUGCCUACAUUACAUUGAUGAACUGGAGCUAGUUCUGUGUCACCCUAUGUUAUGAUUGUUACAUGAUGAACCGCAUCCGGCAUAAUUCUCUAUCACCGAUCCAUUGCCUACGAGCUUUCCAUAUAUUGUUCUUCGCUUAUUUACUUUUCCGUUGCUAUUGCUAUCAUCACUACAAAAUACCAAAAACAUUACUUUUGCUAUCAUUACCUUUUGCUACCGUUACCACUACUAUCUUAUUACUUUGCUACUAAACACUUUGCUGCAGAUACUAAGUUUCCGGGUGUGGUUGACUUGACAACUUAGCUGCUAAUACUUGAGAAUAUUCUUUGGCUCCCCUUGUGUCGAAUCGAUAAAUUUGGGUUGAAUACUCUACCCUCGAAAACUGUUGCGAUCCCCUAUACUUGUGGGUUAUCAAGACUAUUUUCUGGCGCCGUUGCCGGGGAGCAUAGCUCUAUUCUUUGAGUCACUUGGGAUUUAUAUCUGCUUAUCAUUAUGAAGAACUUGAAAGAUCCAAGAACUAAGAUUUAUCCCUCAACUAUGAGGGGAGGUAAGGAACUGCCAUCUAGCUCUGCACUUGAUUCACCUUCUGUUUUGAGUAAGCUUGCGACAGCUAAACUACUUCUGCUAUUCGUUAUGAUAUGUCGCAUGUUAUUGAUGAUGCCACUUCUGCUAUACAUGAUACUUAUGAUGAAACUACUUCUAUGCUUGAUACUACUGUGCCACUUGGUGAAUUUCUUGAUGAACAACUUGCUAGGGGUUAGAGAGAAUGAAAAUAUUGAAUCUGAUAAUACUGAUGAAAGUGAUGAUGAAGACUUGCCUGUUAUUCCUAAGGGUUAUGUUUUUGAUAAAGAAGCUUCUUUAGCUAUUUUAGCUUGCAAAGAUAGAUACGAGAUCAAGGGGUUAUUAGCUAAAUGGAAGCAGCAAUCUCUUAAUGCUAGAAUGAAAGCUGACCCUGCUUUUGCUACUUCACUUAUCUUUGUUACUGAUAAGGAUUAUGAAUUCUCUGUUGAUCCUGAUAUAAUUACUUUGGUUGAAUCUGAUCCUUUUCAUGGCUAUGAAUCUGAAACUGUUGUGGCACAUCUUACUAAAUUAAAUGAUAUAGCCACCCUGUUCACUAAUGAUGAGAGAACUCGUUACUUUUAUAUCCUUAAAAUAUUUCCGUUCUCAUUAAAGGGUGAUGCUAAGAUACGGUUUAAUUCUCUUGAUCCUGGUUGUGUGCGUAGUCCCCAGAAUAUGAUGUAUUACUUCUCUGCUAAAUAUUUCCCUGCUCAUAAGAAACAAGCUGCUUUAAGGGAUAUAUAUACUCCCUCCAUUCAGAAUUACUUGUCGCAGAAAUGGAUGUAUCUAUACCUAUUUUAAUUCUAGAUACAUCCAUUUUCGAGACAAGUAAUUCCGGACGGAGGGAGUAUAAUUUUGUGCAAAUUGAAGAAGAGAGUCUCCCACAAGCUUGGGGGAGGCUUCUCAAGUUACUUGAUGCUUUGCCUGAUCAUCCUCUUAAGAAAAAUGAAAUACUUGAUAUCUUUUAUAAUGGACUAACUGAUGCCUCCAGAGAUUACCUGGAUAGUUGUGCUGGUUCUGUUUUCAUGGAAAGAACACCGGAUGAAGCUGAAAUUCUAUUGAAUAAUAUGUUGACAAAUGAAAAUAAUCGGACACUUCCUAAGCCAGCUCCGGAGCCAAUUCCUGAGCCUAUUCCUAAACCAACUACGAAGAAGAGGGGUAUUCUAUUUCUCAGUCCUGAAGAUAUGCAAGAGGCAAAAAAAAUCUAUGAAAGAAAAAGGUAUUAAAGCUGAAGAUGUUAAGAAUUUACCUCCUAUUGAAGAAAUACAUGGUCUUAAUUCACCGCCUAUUGAAGAAACAUAUGGUCUUAAUCCUUUACCUAUUGAAGAAAUACAUGGUCUUGAUAACCCGACACAGGUAGUAAAGGUAAAUUCUCUCUAUAGAUAUGAUAAAGCUGAAAUCCCAUUUACUAAAUUUGCUAGCCCAUGCUUAGACGAGUUUGAUAAAUUUAUGGUUAAGCAAGAAGACUUUAAUGCUUAUUUUGGUAGCCAAUUGAAAUACAAUUCAAAUAUGCUUGAACACUUGGGUGAUUAUAUGGCUAAUGUCAAAGGUGAACUUAAACUUAUUAGUAAACAUGCUUCUAUGGUUACCACUCAAGUAGAACAAGUACUUAAAGCUCAAAAUGAUUUGCUCAAUGAAUUGAAUAGUAAGAAUAAUGAUAACGCUGUUAGAGUUAUGACUAGAGGUGGUAAAAUGACUCAAGAGCCUUUGUAUCCUAAAGGCCAUCCUAAGAGAAUUGAGCAAGAUUCUCAAAGAGAUAAUAUAGAUGCACCUAGUCCUUCUAAAAGGAAGAAAAAGAAAAAUGAUAGGACUUUGCAUGCUUCUAGUGAACCUGUUAUUGAAACACCUGAGAAUCCAAAUGAUAUUUCUAUUUCUGAUGCUGAAACACAAUCUGGUAAUGAACCUGAAUCUAGUGAUAAUGUUAAUGAUAAUGUUCAUGAUGAUGCUCAACCUAGUAAUGAUAAUGAUAUAGAAAUUGAACCUGCUAUUGAUCUUGAUAACCCACAAUCAAAGAAUCAACGUUAUGAUAAGAAAGACUUUGUUGCUAGGAAACAUGGUAAAGAAAGAGAACCAUGGGUUCAGAAACCCAUGCCUUUUCCUCCCAAACCAUCCAAGAAAAAGGAUGAUGAAGAUUUUGAGCGCUUUGCUGAAAUGAUUAGACCUAUCUUUUUGCGUAUGCGAUUAACUGAUAUGCUCAAAAUGAAUCCUUAUGCUAAGUAUAUGAAAGAUAUUAUUACUAAUAAAAGAAAGAUACCGGAAGCUGAAAUUUCCACCAUGCUUGCUAAUUAUACUUUUAAGGGUGGAAUACCAAAGAAACUUGGAGAUCCAGGAGUACCCACUAUACCAUGCUCCAUUAAAAGAAACUAUGUUAAAACUGCUUUAUGUGAUCUUGGAGCCGGUGUUAGUGUUAUGCCUCUCUCUUUAUAUCGUAGACUUGAUUUGAAUAAGUUGACACCUACUGAAAUAUCUUUGCAAAUGGCUGAUAAAUCAACUGCUAUACCUGUCGGUAUUUGUGAGGAUGUGCCUGUUGUAGUUGCAAACGUUACUAUUUUAACAGACUUUGUUAUUCUUGAUAUUCCCGAGGACGAUAGUAUGUUUAUUAUUCUUGGAAGACCCUUUUUGAAUACUGCAGGGGCUGUUAUUGAUUGCACUAAAGGCAAUGUCACUUUUCAUGUUAAUGGUAAUGAGCAUACGGUACACUUUCCGAGGAAACAACCUCAAGUUCAUAGUAUCAACUCUAUUGGAAAAAUCCCAUCGAUUAUAUUUGGAGGUUUUGAAUUUCCUCUUCCUACUGUCAAGAAGAAAUAUGAUAUUCUUAUUAUUGGGGAUGUGCAUAUCCCCGUUGAGGUAACAUAGUGUUAUUCGAAAUUUCUCCGGUUCCAUGUUAUUCGGAAUGAGUUCGUUAACAAGACUUGAUCAACCUUGUUAGUGGAUUCCUUUUGAUGAGCAUGAGAUGGAUGAAACUAGAAGGCACAACCUUCUGUACCCUCCUUUUACUUUCUGUUAUUUAUAUUAAAUAAAAUAAAAAUAGUAUUUUUCUGUCUGUUAUCUGAUCAUCCGUGCAAUAUAAAAUACCCUGAAAAUAAAAGUUCUCCAAAUGUCCUGAAAUUUAAAUAUGAUUUUUUCUGAAAUAUUUGAGAAUAUUUGGCACUGAGAAUACGAUAGGGGGGUCAUCCACCUGGCCACGAGGGUCAGGGGAGCGCCCUACCCCCUGGGCGCCCCCUGCGUCGUGGGCCCACGGUGGCCUUCCUCCACUUAUCCUUUCACCCACACACUCUUUCUUCCUCCCCCAAACACGAAUAUCCAGCUCAAACCCAAGUCCAAGCUCAUUUUGCUGCCAUUUUCGAUCUCCUUGCUCAAAGCACCUCUCACAAAAAUGCUUGGGGAGAUUGUUCCUUGGUAUGUGACUCCUCCAUUGGUCCAAUUAGUUUUUGUUCUAGUGCUUUAUUCAUUGCAAAUUUUUGCUGCUUAGGUGACCCUGUUCUUGAGCUUGCAUGUCAAAUUUAUAUGGUCAAGAGUAGUUUUGAUGCAUGAUAUAGGCCCUAGGCACUUGUAGGAGUAGUUGCUAUCAAUAUUACUGAGUUUGAUUUACUUUUAUUUUGAAGUUACUAAAAAUUUCAGAAUUUUUUAGAAAAUAAUGAAGACUUUUGAGGGGCUCAUCGAGCCGAAGCUCGAAGGAAAAGGCACAGAAGCCCAAGUAUAAUCUGCCUUGCACCACGGAGGUUCGGUCGUGUGAAUGGCCUUCCGAUGAUUUCUUGAGAGCAGCGGGGAUUUAUGAAGAUCUUUAUGAAUUGGCUAAGAAUGCAGGCCUCACCGCUUUCCUCCACGACCAACGCGAUCAGUAUUUCCUACUCACAAAUAUCUUUGUGAAAAACUUUCAUUCCAUUCUAGGAGCUCACCACCUACGGUGGAGUUUUAUUUAUAUGAUAAGCAUAAGGAGAUGUCAGUUUAUGAUUUUUGUCGGGUUUGUUUGGUCCCUUUCGAGGGCACGAUAGAGGAACCACAUCACAGCGAUGUGGAUGGGUUUAUUGAUAUCAUCACUGUAGGGGAAACGAGGAAGGUUUCCGAUGCACGAAUCACUAGCAUACAUUUUCCCGUUUUACGCUAUUUUGCAUUAUUUGCUAGUCGUUGCUUAAUUGGUCACGGAAACUAUGGAAACCUUAGUGUUCCUGAUAUUAUUAUUUUGCUCCAUGGUUUAUUCAGUGAUAACUCUGUUAGUAUGGGCGGCAUUAUUGCUAAACGGUUAAGUCUGAACCGUACAAAGGGCCCCAUCUUUAGAGGCAUCUAUGCUUCACGCCUAGCUGCACAUUUUAAUAUACCUAUUAGGCAUUAUGAGAAGGAAGAAAAAGUGUUGCCUCAUGUUUAUUUAGAUUAUAAGAGUAUGGUAGCACAAGAUUGUAUUGUUAAGAAUAGGGAAGGAGAGCUUAAAUACAAUUUGUUCUUUGAUAAACAUCAUCAUGAGACUAUUACCCUGCCUGCUCCUUCCUUGUUUAAUUUAUCUGCAGGCCAGUACCUUGUUCUGUUAGAGGCUAUUCACGCCUAUCGGAACCCUACAUCAGCCACAGAGCCAGAGCCAGAACCACAGGUUGAUCCUCCAUGACAGUCUAAUUACCAGUGGGAUCCGGAGAUGCUUGCCAACAAGUGGCAAUCGGAGUCUUCUUCUUCGCAGUACGACCCCAACUAUUAUUAUGGAUAUCCGCCAGGCCAACUGUGGCCAUAGACCAACUUAGGCCAAAAGCCUAAGUUUGGGGGAUUAUGUAUUUCUCACUGACAUUUCAUUUAUGUUCACACACUCAUUGCCAUAUGUCGGUGCUCAUACUUUUUCAUUGUAUCAUCCAUGCUAGUUUAUUUCCUUUUUAUGCUUUCUUCUUGUGUGUUUGGUAAACCUUAAGAAAAAACCAAACAAAAGUUAGUUGUAUCUUUUAAUUAGUUUACUUUUCAAGCUUGUAGUAGUAAUUAAAAAGAAAACCCAAAAAGAUUUCAUGUUCUUCUUUUACUUGUUGGGAGCUCUCCAGUGUUAAAAGUUUUAUUUCUUUUCUUUGGGGGUCGAUAGGAGAAGACCAUAAUUAAAUUGUUGAAGUGGUUCUUAUAUGCAUUAUUGUUGAUCUGACAAAAGAGCCCAUAUUGCCUUGUCUUCUCCUGUUUAUUGAAUGCUUGCAGAUUCUAGCUUAGUCCAAUGCAUGUGCACUAUUAUUAUUAUCCACAUCGUUCGGUCGUGCAAGUGAAAGCCAAUAAUGAUGAUUAUAUGAUGAACUUAUUGAGAUGAGAAAAGCUGGUAUGAACUCGACCUCUCUUGUUUUUGUAAAUAUGAUUAGUUCAUCAUUCCUAAUUCAGCCUAUUAUGAAUAAACAUGUUUGCAAUGACAACUAGAGAUCAUAGUUCUUGUGCCAUGCUUGAUUAGCUAGGAGCUUAUAAUGGUUUAUCUUGCGUGCCAACAUGCUAUUAAAAUGGUUGUGAUGUGGUAUGAUAGGGUGGUAUCCUCCUCUGAAUGAUUUAAGUGACUUGACUUGGCGCAUGUUCACGCAUGUAGUUGAAACAAAAUCAACAUAACCUUCACGAUAUUUAUGUUCAUGGUGGAUUAUAUCCUACUCGUGCUUGCAUUCGGUGUUGAUUAAUUUUAAUGCAUGUUCAUGACUGUUGUCGCUCUCUAGCUGGUCGCUUCCCAGUCUCUUGCUAGCCUUCACCUGUACUAAGCGGGAAUACUGCUUGUGCAUCCAACUCCAUAAACCCCAAAGUUAUUCCAUAUGAGUUGUGACACCCCGAGACCAAUGUGCCAGGUGUCGUCCAGUUAUUCGUUGUUGUUGCCUUGUCAUUUGCUUGCGUGUCAUGCAUUUCAUAUCUUUGCAUCAUGUGCAUUGCAUCAUGUCAUAAAUCUUUUGCAUCUUAACUAAAUAGUUUGUGUGGAUCUUCGAUCCAUUUAAAUUGAGGGAAGAGUGACUUCUCUUUAUAACUUUAUCCUCCUAAUAUUUAGGGAGUUAUUAUAAAUAUUCCAUUAAUUUGGAAUCAUCGUAACACACAUGCAAAAUAAUUCCCAUGUCUGUUCCUCUUUGAUUUUGACCUUCAAACCUUGCCAAUAUCUCUCAUCUCUUUUCUCGAGGCUCCUCCUAAAACCUCAACAUUUUUGGACACCUCUUAUUGCUAGCCCUUGUUCAAACCAUUUGAAUUAAAUUCAAAUGAUUUUGAAUUAAAUCCUUGCGAUCAUGCCUCUCCUAUUUUUCUUGGAAUCAACGCAUUUUUCCGAGUCCGGGAAUAUUAUUUGCGUGUGCUAAUUCUUUCCCUAUCCCUCUCUUUCUUUUCGUCUCUCCAAUUCUUUUCUGUUAAAGGAAAUAUGAGAGAGAGAGAGAAGAGAGAUAGCACAGGCCGGCCCAACCUCCAGCGCAGGCCCAUUUGCCCCUCCAAGGCCCAGCCAUCCCACCUACACCUAACCUAGCCCACACCCUCUGGACGAUCCUCUCUCCCCCCUUCGUUUCCUGCUUGCGCCGCCAGGAGAGGAUCGCUCGCACCCGACUCCCUCUCCCUCUCCAUUCGCUCGAUCUCCCCACCUCUCGCUCCCGUGUCCGAACCACCUGCGCCUCCCUCUCUCUCGCUCACGUCGAGCCCCUCCACUCCUUCCAGUAAGGCCCCGCACCACUCGUCCCAAUUUUGGCCGAAGCUCGCCGGAGCCACAACACCGGCCGUCACUGGACCUCCUCCUCGGCUCCACCCUGCCGGCUCCCGGCGCCUCCGCCUCACCCUCGAUACCCCACCGCCUACAGUGAACAUCGCCGGCCUCUCCUUCUUCCUCUCGUGCGCCUCCCUCUCCUGCAAGGAUGCCCCUCGCCUUGCCGCAGCCGAGCUGCGGCAUGGCACCGACCGGUACUGGCCUCGACCUCCUCACCUGCUGUCAAGCUCCUGGAGCUGCUGCUGCUCCCUGCAUCGCCGCGCCCUCAAGUGCAUCGUCCCCCGUAGCCGGUCCAGGAGCUCCUUCGUGCCUUGCUGCCGCUGUCCUUCUGCAGCGCCGCCGUCCAUGUCCGCUGGAGGCCGCUGCUCGUCUCGCCCCUCUGCUGCCGGCGACCGAGGCCGCUGGGGCAUGCCCGCAGUCACCCAGUGCCGCCUUGCACCGCUCCUCUUCCUCGCGUGACCCGAGGCCCCUUGUGCUGUUUUGUGUUGGACGUCAAGGCCACCAAGUUUGACUACGGGUAUUCGCCAAGUACCAUUCGGAUACCGCCAAUUUCGACUACCGCACGGUUACGCCAAGUUCAUGUACGAAACAUGUACAUCUACUCCGUCAAGACCCGGACCGACAAGUACCCCAACGUCAUGUGUACAACGACCGUCGCCGAAGACCCGGAUAGCAAAACGUCAAGUACCUGUGACCGAAGAACACCAUGUACCUCUCCGAAAAAUGAACAUGUACCACUACGUCCGAAGACCUCGAAACCGUCAAGUCCGACAAUGAUUGUGCACAACUACCGAUGACGUGCAUGUUGCCAAGUACCCUAUCCGGAUCGUCAUGUUCCACUACCGUCGGCGAGAUCGCGAGAACCUCUACCGUCGACCCUAGAGCGUGCGAGAACGUCUUCUUCCACUACCGCCGUCGCGAGAACGUCUACUUCCCUCUACGAACGAGAAUCGUCCCCUUCGCACGCUUCAAAGGUAUAACCCCGAGACGAUCAUCCGAGAACGAAUGCUUGUGUCGUAUGAGAUGCACCCUUUGUCUGCACCGUGUCCGGAGUGUCUCUCGCGUCCAUGCCAUCGACUUGUGGGACACCCGGAAUCCGGGAGCGCCCCACCAUCUUUUGCACGCAUCCGCACACUUCUCCUUUGCAUCGGUAUCUCAAUCGAGUUACCGGAACCGGAACGUUGCCGUGGCACCGUUUCCGUUAUCAUCGCCGUGGCACCCUUUCUUUCCACCAUGAUGACAAAUGCUCCAUAUUAUGCUCAUGUCAACUUUAAAUUAAAAUUGCAUAAACUUGUUCAUGCCAUCCGCAUCAUGAUAACAACUUCAAGAAUGUUUAAAGUGUUGUUUGCAUUAAAUUACUAAUGCAUAUGGGGAUUUACCGAGUUUGUUGUUUGUUAUAUCCGGCCCCAUUUAAAUUGUUUAGAUGGUAUAGUUUUCUUAUGUUUCACCUCUUGACAUGCUUAACAACAUCUAAUAUUGUUGGGUACAUAAACGAGAUCGAACUAAAUAACUUGAAUGUGGUGUUUCGUCAAUAUGUAACGGAGUUGCAUGUUGAGCUCCACUUAAUUUGUAGGAUUGUUUGUGCAUUUUGCCAUGCCAUGCUUCUUUAAACCGGACAUGCAUCCUACUUGGUUGUGCAUCAUGCCAUGUUGUUGUAGUGGUUGUUUACUAUGUUGUUUGCUUUCUUUCCGGUGUACUUCUUCUCGGUAAUCCGGUAACAUCGCGUUUGUGAGGAACCGUUUGACUAUGUCCGUUUGUCUUCUUCAUGGACUCAUUCUUCUUCCUUGCGGGAUUUCAGGCAAGAUGACCAUACCCUCGAAAUCACUUCUAUCUUUGCUUGCUAGUUGCUCGCUCUUUUGCUAUGCCUAUGGUGCGAUACCUACCACUUGCUUGUCAUGCCUCCCAUAUUGUUGAACCAAGCCUCUAACCCACCUUGUCCUAGCAAACCGUUGUUUGGCUAUGUUACCGCUUUGCUCAGCCCCUCUUAUAGUGUUGUUAGUUGUAGGUGAAGAUUGAAGUUUGUUCCUUGUUGGAACAUGGAGAUGUUGUUCCUUGUUGGAACAUGUUUACUUGUUGGGAUAUCACAAUAUCUCUUAUCUAAUUAAUGCACCUAUAUACUUGGUAAAGGGUGGAAGGCUUGGCCUUAUGCCUGGUGUUUUGUUCCACUCUUGCCGCCCUAGUUUCCGUCAUAUCGGUGUUAUGUUCCCGGAUUUUGCGUUCCUUACGCGGUUGGGUAUAAUGGGAACCCCUUGACAGUUCGCCUUGAAUAAAACUCCUCCAGCAAGGCCCAACAUUGGUUUUACCAUUCGCCACCUAGACUUUUCUUUCCCUUGAGUCGGCCGACUCAAGGGUCAUCUUUAUUUAAACCCCUGGGCCAGUGCUCAUUUGAGUGUUGGUCCACCUUGUUGUUAGGGAACGUAGCAGAAAUUCAAAAUUUUCCUACGUGUCACCAAGAUCUAUCUAUGGAGAAACCAGCAACGAAGGGAAGGAGAGUGCAUCUACAUACCCUUGUAGAUCGCUAAGCGGAAGCGUUCAAGAGAACGGGGUUGAAGGAGUCGUACUCGUCGUGAUCCAAAUCGCCGGAGAUCCUAGUGCCGAACGGACGGCACCUCCACGUUCAACACACGUACAGCCCGGUGACGUCUCCCAUGCCUUGAUCCAGCAAGGAGAGAGGGAGAGGUUGAGGAAGACUCCAUCCAGCAGCAGCACAACGGCGUGGUGGUGGUGGAGGAGCGUGGUACUCCAGCAGGGCUUCGCCAAGCAUCGCAAGAGACGAGGAGGGAGAGGGGUAGGGCUGCGCCAAGAAGGAGAGGAACUCGUGUGUCUUGGGCAGCCCAAACCUCAAGUAUAUAUAGGGGGAGGGGAGGGGCUGUGCCCCCACCUAGGGUUCCCUCCCUAGGGGUGGCGGCAGCCCCCCAUAUCCCAUCUGGGUGGCGGCCACAAGGGGGAGAGGGGGAGGUGCACCUGGGGUGGGCCUUAGGGCCCAUCUGCCCUAGGGUUUGCCCUCCUUCCCUCUUGGAGGCGCCUUGGGCCUUGGUGGGGGGGGGGGCGCACCAGCCCACCUGGGGCUGGUCCCCUCCCACACUUGGCCCAUGCAGCCCUCCGGGGCUGGUGGCUCCACUUGGUGGACCACCGGACCCCUCCGGUGGUCCCGGUACACUACCGGUAAAACCCGAAACUUUUCCGGUGACCAAAACAGGACUUCCCAUAUAUAAAUCUUUACCUCCGGACCAUUCCGGAACUCCUCGUGACGUCCGGGAUCUCAUCCGGGACUCCGAACAACAUUCGGUAACCACAUAUAUCUAUUCCUUAUAACCCUUGCGUCAUUGAACCUUAAGUGUGUAGACCCUACGGGUUCGGGAACCAUGCAGACAUGACCGAGACGUUCUCCGGUCAAUAACCAACAGCGGGAUCUGGAUACCCAUGUUGGUUCCUACAUGUUCCACGAUGAUCUCAUCAUAUGAACCACGAUGUCGAGGAUUCAAUCAAUCCCGUAUACAAUUCCCUUUGUCUAGCGGUACGAUACUUGCCCGAGAUUCGAUCGUCGGUAUCCCGAUACCUUGUUCAAUCUCGUUACUGGCAAGUCUCUUUACUCGUUCCGUAACACAUCAUCCCGUGAUCAACUCCUUGGUCACAUUAUGCACAUUAUGAUGAUGUCCUACCGAGUGGGCCUAGAGAUACCUCUCCGUUUACACGGAGUGACAAAUCUCAGUCUCGAUUCGUGCCAACCCAACAGACACUUUCGGAGAUACCCGUAGUGCAUCUUUAUAGCCACCGAGUCAUCUUGCCCAUGUGGUAUGAUUUGCAUGUCUCAAGUGAUUCAAAAAUCAAGUGAGUCCAAACGGUCCAUUUGCAUGGAGUUUCUUCAUGCAUAUACACCAAUAGACAUGGUUUGCAUGUCUCAAACUUUUCAAAAAAAAGUGAGCCCAAAGAUCCAUCAACAUGGAGCUUCUUCAUGCGUUUUAUACCGAUAUGACUUACGUUGCAGUGCCACAAGUAGGUGGUACUAUCAUUACUAUCUUAUAUCUUUUGGCAUGAACAUGUGUAUCACUACGAUCGAGAUUCAAUAAACCAUUCAUUUUAGGUGCAAGACCAUUGAAGGUAUUAUUCAAAUAAACAGAGUAACCAUUAUUCUCCUUAAAUGAAUAACCGUAUUGUGAUAGACAUAAUCCAAUCAUGUCUAUGCUCAACGCAAACACCAAUCUUGAUGGUAGAGGGAGCGUACGAUAUUUGAUCAACCUUGGAAAUACUUCCAACACAUAUCGUCAUCUCACCUUUUAGCUAGUCUCCAUUUAUUCCGUAGCUUUUAUUUCGAGUUACUAACACUUAGUAACCGAACCGGUAUCUAAUACCCUGGUGCUACUAGGAGUACUAGUAAAGUACACAUUAACACAAUGUAUAUCCAAUAUACUUCUACCGACCUUGCCAGCCUUCUCAUCUACCAAGUAUCUAGGGUAAUUCUGCUCCAGUGGCUGUUCCCCUUAUUACAGAAGCACUUAGUCUUGGGUUUGGGUUCAACUUUGGGUUUCUUCAUUAGAGCAGCAACUGAUUUGCCGUUUCAUGAAGUAUCCCUUCUUGCCCUUGCCCUUCUUGAAACUAGUGGUUUCACUAACCAUCAACAAUUGAUGCUCCUUCUUGAUUUCUACUUACGCGGUGUCAAACAUCGCGAAUAUUUCAAGGAUCAUCAUAUCUAUCCCUGAUAUGUUAUAGUUCAUCACGAAGCUCUAGAAGCUUGGUGGCAAUGACUUCGGAGAAAUAUCACUAUCUCAUCUGGAAGAUCAACUCCCACUCAAAUCAAAUGAUUAUUGUACUCAGACAAUCUGAGCACAAGCUCAACAAUUGAGCUUUUCUCCCUUAGUUUGCAGGCUAAGAAAAUUUUCGGAGGUCUUAUACCUCUUGACGUGGGCACGAGCCUGAAAUCCCAAUUUCAGCCCUCGAAACAUCUCAUAUGUUUCGCGACGUUUCAAAAAUGUCUUCGGUGCCUCAACUCUAAACCGUUUAACUGAACUAUCACGUAGUUAUCAAAAUGUGUAUGUCAGAUGUUCGCAACAUCCACAGACGACGUUCGAGGUUCAGCACACUGAGCGGUGCAUUAAGGACAUAAGCCUUCUAUGAAGCAAUGAGGACAAUCCUGAGUUUACGGACCUAGUCCGCAUAAUUACUACUAUCAACUUUCAACUAAAUUUUCUCUAGGAACAUAUCUAAACAGUAGAACUGAAGCGCGAGCUAUGACAUAAUUUGCGAAGACCUUUUGACUAUGUUCAGGAUAAAUAAGUUCAUCUUAUGAACUCCCACUCAGAUAGACAUCCCUCUAGUCAUCUAAGUGAUUACAUGAUCCGAGUCAACUAGGCCGUGUCCAAUCAUCACGUGAGACGGACUAGUCAACAUCAGUGAACAUCUUCAUGUUGAUCGUAUCUUCUAUACGACUCAUGUUCGACCUUUCGGUCUUCUGUGUUCUGAGGCCAUGUCUAUACAUGCUAGGCUCGUCAAGUCAACCUAAGUGUUUGCAUGUGUAAAUCUGCCUUACACCCGUUGUAUGUGAAUGUUAGAAUCUAUCACACCCGAUCAUCAUGUGGUGCUUCGAAACAACGAACUGUCGCGACGGUGCACAGUUAGGUGGAACACUUUCUUGAAAUUAUUAUGAGGGAUCAUCUUAUUUACUACUGUCGUUCUAAGUAAACAAGAUGCAAAAACAUGAUAAACAUCACACGCAAUCAAAUAAUAGUGACGUGAUAUGGCCAAUAUCAUAUAGCUCCUUUGAUCUCCAUCUUGGGGCUCCAGGAUCAUCUUGUCACCGGCAUGACACCAUGAUCUCCAUCAUCAUGAUCUCCAUCAUCGUGUCUCCAUGAAGUUGUCUCGCCAACUUAUUACUUCUACUACUAAGGCUACCGGUUAGCAAUAAAGUAAAGUAAUUACAUGGCAUUGUUCAAUGACACGCAGGUCAUACAAUAAAUAAAGACAACUCCUAUGGCUCCUGCCGGUUGUCAUACUCAUCGACAUGCAAGUCGUGAUUCCUAUUACAAGAACAUGAUCAAUCUCAUACAUCACAUAUCAUUCAUCACAUUCUUCUUGGCCAUAUCACAUCACAUAGCAUACCCUGCAAAAACAAGUUAGACGUCCUCUAAUUGUUGUUUGCAUGUUUUACGUGGCUGCUAUGGGUUUCUAGCAAGAACGUUUCUUACGUACGCAAAAACCACAACAUGAUAUGCCAAUUGCUAUUUACCCUUCAUAAGGACCCUUUUCAUCGAAUCCGAUCCGACUAAAGUGGGAGAGACAGACACCCGCUAGCCACCUUAUGCAACUAGUGCAUGUCAGUCGGUGGAACCAGUCUCACGUAAGAGUACGUGUAAGGUCGGUCCGGGGCGCUUCAUCCCACAAUGCCGCCGAAUCAAGAUUGGACUAGUAACGGUAAGCAUAUUGAACAAAAUCAACGCCCACAACUACUUUGUGUUCUACUCGUGCAUAGAAACUACGCAUAGACCUAGCUCAUGAUGCCACUGUUAGGGAACAUAGCAGAAAUUCAAAAUUUUCCUACGUGUCACCAAGAUCUAUCUAUGGAGAAACCAGCAACGAAGGGAAGGAGAGUGCAUCUGCAUACCCUUGUAGAUCGCUAAGCGGAAGCGUUGAAGAGAACGGGGUUGAAGGAGUCGUACCCAUGUUGGUUCCUACAUGACCGAGACAUUCUCCGGUCAAUAACCAACAGCGGGAUCUGGAUACCCAUGUUGGUUCCUACAUGUUCCAUGAUGAUCUCAUCGGAUGAACCAUGAUGUCAAGGAUUCGAUCAAUCCCGUAUACAAUUCCCUUUGUCUAGCGGUACGAUACUUGCCCGAGAUUUGAUCGUCGGUAUCCCGAUACCUUGUUCAAUCUCGUUACUGGCAAGUCUCUUUACUCGUUCCGUAACACAUCAUCCCGUGAUCAACUCCUUGGUCACAUUGUGCACAUUAUGAUGAUGUCUUACCGAGUGGGCCCAGAGAUACCUCUCCGUUUACACGGAGUGACAAAUCCCAGUCUCGAUUCGUGCCAACCCAACAGACACUUUCGGAGAUACCCGUAGUGCACCUUUAUAGCCACCCAGUUAUGUUGUGACGUUUGGCACACCCAAAGUAUUCCUACGGUAUCCGGGAAUUGCACAAUCUCAUGGUCUGAGGAAAUGAUACUUGACAUUAGAAAAGCUUUAGCAUGCGAACUACACGAUCUUGUGCUAUGCUUAGGAUUGGGUCUUGUCCAUCACAUCAUUCUCCUAAUGAUGUGAUCCCUUCAUCAACGACAUCCAAUGUCCAUGGUCAGGAAACCGUAACCAUCUAUUGAUCAACGAGCUAGUCAACUAGAGGCUUACUAGGGACAUGGUGUUGUCUAUGUAUCCACACUUGUAUCUGAGUUUCCUAUCAAUACAAUUCUAGCAUGGAUAAUAAACGAUUAUCAUGAACAAGGAAAUAUAAUAAUAAUCAAUUUAUUAUUGCCUCUAGGGCAUAUUUCCAACACUUGUCAGCCGCCGGUGGCCACCAGGGGCAACUCUGGGCUGGCCUAUCGGAAGUUUGGACAAUCCGGUGUGCCCUGAGAACGAGAUAUGUGCAGCUCCUAUCGGGAUUUGUCGGCACAUUCGGGUGGCUUUGCUGGUCUUGUUUUACCAUUGUCGAAAUGUCUUGUAAUCGGGAUUCCGAGGCUGAUCGGGUCUUCCCGCUAGAAGGAAUAUCCUUCGUUGACCGUGAGAGCUUGUGAUGGGAUAAGUUGGGACACCCCUGCAGGGAUUUGAACUUUCGAAAGCCGUGUCAUGGUUCUAACUCUGACAGUGAUGUAGGGGGGUAUGUAUGGAGAGGCUAGAUCUUAGCUACGGAGGAGUUGUAAGAACACACAAGGAUUACGAGUUCAGGCCCUUCUCGGAGGAAGUAACAGCCCUACGUCUCGGUGCCCGGAGGCGGUCGACUGAAUUAUGUGUGUAUGAAUAACAGGGGUGCGAACCCCUGAUACUGAGGAGGGGGGUGGCUUAUAUAGAGUUUGCCAGCCCUCUCCAGCCCUCAGUAAUGCAGGGUUUUAAAGUACAUUAAGACUGGGGGUUACUGGUAACGCCCUAAUAAAGUGCUAUGAUGACCAUAAAAGCUACUUAAUGACUGACCGUUUGCGUGCGGGGUGACUUUAGAUCUCCUGGCAGUCGAGUGGUUGGAUCUUGGUCGAGUGAUUGCUUUGUGGUCGAGUGUCUUGAAUCCGUCGAGUGGGAUACCUCCAAGUCGAUUGAAAGGUGACUUCUUCUAGGGAUGUCCUUGGGUAGGGUACUUAGGACAGGUCCAUGCCCCUACCCUAGGUACAUAGCUUCAUCAUUAGCCCCUGAAUGGAUCGAGGUUCGAGUGGGGAAGGAGUUGGGGAUCUUUCCGACUGGUUCUUCAUGUUAUAUGAACGUCUCAUUUUGGAUCAAUUGUCACGGAUGACGUCGUGAACUUCUUUCAGUCACCUUGAUCCAUUCUUGGCCUCUUGUCGAGUGAAUUUCUUUACUUGUGAAGUUCCGAGUGACGGUGUGAAAGGGAUCUUCUGUUUGACGAGUUGUUCUGUGGCCCGCGGAUCUUGCGGGAUUUGAAUUUCGAGAAGCGCGCGGGACGGGGGCGGCCGCAGUAAUCGGAUGGGAUAGGACGGAAGCUCCUUGAUCCCAGCGCCACCAUAUUCGCCACGUAGCGCGCGCGCCUGUUGUGGGAUUUGACGGGAUUGCCUGGGCCUACCAGUCAGCCACUCGGAAGCGACCUCUUAUAAGCUGCCGGCUCGGGACCCCCGAAUAGUGCGCCUUCACUUUUCCCCCUUCCUUCACAAGAUCCUCCGCCACCUCCGCUCUCACCUUGGUGCCGUAGGUCUGUUCAAGCUUCACCGACGACGAUGGUGAAGGAGAAGACGUCGGCUCUAGAGCGUGCGAAGAAGGCGGCGGUGCAGGGGAAGGGGAAGAAGUCCGCUCGGGGCGGAUCUUCCUCGAGGACUGCUCUGCCCAAGGAUUGGAUCCAGGGUGACUGGAUGCCGUCGGUGAUUCGGCAGGAUGAUCUCGAUGAUCUGGUCGAGGGGGGACUCAUUCCCCACGAAUCUGCGCGUCUCCCGGGGAAAGAAGUCGAACCCCAGCCUCUUGAUGGUGAGUGAAUCCUCCUCACCACCCAUAUCGCCGUGGAUUCUCUCUGCCUCCUCAUCCUUUUUUCCAGAGCUUCUUGAACUUCUUCGGAGCGCAGCUCCAUCACUUUACUCCCAAUUCUAUUGUGUAUCUCGCUGCUUUCGUUUGCUUGUGUGAAAACUUCUUGGGUUGCCGCCCCCAUUGGGGACUCUUCAAGCACAUCUUCACUUGCCGCUCUCAGUCGGUCAAGAAGGCCAAAUCGAGUGAUGAACGGACACAGGUGAUCCAGCUGUGCGGGGGCCUGGCGAUCUAGAUGAGGGGAAAAAGUUCCUUUCCGUCUAUCACUUUUCCCGAGUCAGUCCGUGGGUGGCAGUCGACUUGGUUUUACUGUAAAGACCAGGUGACCCCAGGACAGUCGACUGGGCUUCCCCCUUUUUCUCUGAAUCGAGCACAAAAACCUGCCUCUCUGAAAGUGACGCCGGAGGAAAAGGCGCAAGUCAAGGUGCUGGUUGGUCGAGUGGUUCAGCUUGUCCGCGAGGGUGUGACUGGCAUGGACUUGUUGGAAGUCUUCCUUCGGAGGCGCAUCCAACCGCUUCAGGCUCGUGACCACCCGAUGUGGCUGUACUCGGGUCUUGAAGACACCACUCGGAUUCACCCAGAGGAGGUCACUGACGAGAUGUUGGAAGGGUGGCUGUCGAGUAUCACAGGGAACAAGGACAACCCCCGAGGAGCCAGGAGGAUUCCUCCACUCGACCAAACAUACAAAGUGGACAAGGUCUAACCUUGCGUUUCCGACUGUGAUCUUGCUUUCUUUAUUUGUUCUCUUUGGAUCAGUCGAUUGACUUUUGUCUUCUUUGUUGUCCUCUACGCCACUACUGAGAUGUACUCGACACCCUACGGAGCACAGGAGCAGGCCGAGGAAGGAGAGGCGAGCAGAGGCGAAAGUGGAGACGAGGGAGAAGAGUGGGAAUUUGACGGCGAAGGAGAGGGGGAUGACGACACCGACUCUAGUGAAGAGGAGGAGGAAGAAGCCGAACCUCCCUGCUCGGAACGGCGAUCCAAGCUUACACACAACCCUGCGCGGGAACGUGGUAAGGCGACUGUCCCUGUUGGGCAGUCAUCGAAGCGCCCUCGGACCUCAUCUCCAGUGCCGACAGAAAAAGCUCCCAAGCACCCACGCGCGACGCCGUCCAAGCCGCCGAAGGCUCUGCCCAAGAUGAAGAUGAUUGUCCCCACCAUUUCUGGGUAAUAGUAGAAUUUGUUUUCCUUUGUCGAACAUGACAGACUCUUGGUUGACUCAUUGAAUAAGCUGACUGACUUUCGAAAUUUGUAGUGCUACCACCUCAGAGAUCUCCGCCAAGGACGAUGAUCAAGAGAUGGAAGACGCUGUUACCUCCAACCCCGGUACGAUUAUUGAUGCUCUGCUUUUGGUCGACUGACGAUUUCUUAUAAUUCCGGUCGAUUGGAUUUUUCUUGUAGCUCCUCCUCAUGUCAUUGACCUCCCUGAUGAUGACGACGAAGUGCCGCUGAGGGCGCGAAGGAACAGGAGGGCGCCGGCUAGCAAGACCCCACAAACUACUCCGGCGUCUGAGGCCGUAGUCUGGGAGGGUGGUGAUACCACUCGGGCUUCCGUGACCUUCGCUGAAGCUCUGACGAGUGUCCGGCCUUCGACGUCGACUGCAAAUCCGCCUUCGCUUUUUGCCACACACCACGUCCCUGAGGACCAAGUGGGUGCCGCUAAAGAGGCUAUACGCCAGGCGGGGAUCAUGAUGGAGCAAGUGAAGGUGGUUCGAGAAGCCAGCCAAGCAGCUUAUGAUGCGAGUUCAGCUCUUCAGAGCAACGUCCAGGUCAGUCGAUUCACCGCUUGUUCUGUUAGGAUAUGCUAUCUGAAGAAUCUCUUUUCCGAAGAUCUUUAUAUCUGUACACCCACUGGGUGUGUCUAUUAAUCCUUUUGACGAGUGGGGGCACGCUAAGUGCACCCACUGGGUGUAGUCCCCGAGACUACGGUGGACUGCUGGUAGUCGACUGUAGUCUCUAUAUUGUGUUGCUUUAGCUGAACUUCUUCACUCGGUCUAGUCAGGCCAUGUCGAAUGGAACUGUACACGGUCGACUGCGGGCAGUCGAUUUUUUUUGGUCGAACCAGUGGGGGAACGCUGAGUGCACCCACUGGGUGUAGUCCCUGAGACUACUGUCGAAUGUUUUUUUGAUUCGGCUGUAGUCUUAGAAACGCCAUCAUUGUCUCUUGGUUACUCAAAAGCAACUUAUCUUGGAUGUCUGUCGACUGAUUUUUUGCAGAAAUCCUGCAAACUUGUGGCUCGCUUCACUGAGUUGGAGAACAAACAGAUCCAGCUGAACCUUAACUUGGAGCUUGCUUAGGAGAACUUGCAGAAGGCGAGGGACGAAGCAAAAGGUAUGGCUGGUGAUCUUUUGUCAACUGUUCUUUCUUUCUAGCCGUCCUCGAUGUUGAUCUCACUUGCUGUUUCGUAGACAAAAUGGAGGAGGCUCUGAAGAAGAAGGAUCAAGACCUUGACGAAGCGCAGAAGGAGGCCCUGAACAAAACGAAGCUUGCUGAAGAAAAACUGGCUUCAGUCGGUACUCUUGAAAAGGAAAACUCCAGGCUGAAAACUGCUCUCGGCGCGGCUAAUCGAGAGGUCAGCCGUCUGAAGAAUGGCAAUAUAACUCUGAGUGACAAGGCAAGUGAGCUGGCGGGGAAGAGGAACGAUCUGGAGGCUUAUCUCGGUGGACUCGCCAAGAAGCUGUUCGUCAUGCUCGAGGGUAAUUAUUCUGGCCCGACUGACUUGCAGUUACCAAACCUGCAUAGAGCCACUGACUUAUCCUUGAAUUGUGUUUACAGAAUUCUGCCAGAACUUCAAAGAGGAGACCAGUCGAGUGGAGACAGACUUGGACCCCAUCAAUUCUCCAGUGAAGGACGAGGCUGCUAUGAACGUGCUCCGACUGGAAUCUCGUUUUGCCGGUGUUGUUGACUAUCUUGCUCGGUUGAAGGUUGUGAUGUCGCGGAUCGACACGUCCUCUGGCCUAGGACGACGCUUCAGAAUGACCUCGAGUCCCUGAUGACCCGACUGAAUGAAGUCCCAGGUCGAGUGGCGGAAUGGAAGAAAUCUUCUGCUAGAUGUGGCGCUGACGUCGCUCUGUCUCUGGUCCGCGUCCACUGCAAGGAGGCGCGAGAAGAAAAGUCGGCCGCCAUCCAAGUUGCCAAUACCAGGAAGCACAACUUUCAAGACUUCAUGGAGACUUUCAUUGCUGCUGCCAGUCGCAUUGCAGACGGGAUCGACUUGGACGAGUUCGUCGCCCCUUCCAGUCCUCCGUCUGAGGAAUAAAAACUUUUAUGCUUCACUUUAAAUUUGCCUCGGAAUGCCGAGUUGAUUUUGUAACUGUUAAACUCUGUCGAGCUGGAGGCUCGAGUACUUUGAUCUGCGGUCUAGGACCUUUGAAUCUUAUCUGAACUUGAUUUAUCGUUGAAUAUCUUCGUGAAUUUCCUGCUGAGUGAACCCAAUCUUUAUUCGAGAUAACUUUCUGUAUUCGCAGCGCAGCUCUGAAGGAGGGGGAAACAGUCGACCCAUGUCUUGUAUUUGUGGUGAAGCUCCCCAGGGAUGGGCGGCAGUCGACCCGCACCCUGUUACUGCAGAGUGGGACGGAGCGCACAUUGUAUUUAUGGCGAAGCUCUCCAGGAGAAGGUGGCAGUCGACCUGCCCUUCGUCGUCCUGGAGGAUCGAGAUGUGUUUGGGAGAACUUAGACGAGUACUGGACCGCAGCUAAGCCCCCGAGUGGGAGGGUUACUCUCCACUCGGUAGGAUUUUUUUCGAACUUAGGCGAGUGCUGGACUGCAGCUAAGUCUCUCAGUGAGAAAACUUAGGCGAGUACUGGACUGCAGCUAAGCCCCCGAGUGGGAGGAUUGCUCUCCACUCAGUAGGAUUUUUUUUGAACUUAGGUGAGUGUUGGACUGCAGCUAAGUCUCUCAGUGAGAAAACUUAGGCGAGUACUGGACUACAGCUAAGCCCCCGAGUGNNNNNNNNNNNNNNNNNNNNNNNNNNNNNNNNNNNNNNNNNNNNNNNNNNNNNNNNNNNNNNNNNNNNNNNNNNNNNNNNNNNNNNNNNNNNNNNNNNNNNNNNNNNNNNNNNNNNNNNNNNNNNNNNNNNNNNNNNNNNNNNNNNNNNNNNNNNNNNNNNNNNNNNNNNNNNNNNNNNNNNNNNNNNNNNNNNNNNNNNNNNNNNNNNNNNNNNNNNNNNNNNNNNNNNNNNNNNNNNNNNNNNNNNNNNNNNNNNNNNNNNNNNNNNNNNNNNNNNNNNNNNNNNNNNNNNNNNNNNNNNNNNNNNNNNNNNNNNNNNNNNNNNNNNNNNNNNNNNNNNNNNNNNNNNNNNNNNNNNNNNNNNNNNNNNNNNNNNNNNNNNNNNNNNNNNNNNNNNNNNNNNNNNNNNNNNNNNNNNNNNNNNNNNNNNNNNNNNNNNNNNNNNNNNNNNNNNNNNNNNNNNNNNNNNNNNNNNNNNNNNNNNNNNNNNNNNNNCCAAACUUAGGCGAGUGCCGGACUACAGCUAAGUCUCUCAGUGAGAGAACUUAGGCGAGUACUGGACCGCAGCUAAGCCCCCGAGUGGGAGGAUUGCUCUCCACUCGGUAGGAUUUUUCCAAACUUAGGCGAGUGCCGGACUGCAGCUAAGUCUCUCAGUGAGAGAACUUAGGCGAGUACUGGACCGCAGCUAAGCCCCCGAGUGGGAGGAUUGCUCUCCACUCGGUAGGAUUUUUUUAAACUUAGGCGAAACGGAUUCGCAGCUAAGCCUCCGAGUGGGAGGCCGGCUCGCCACUCUGUAGGAAACUGUUUUUACAAACUUAGGCGAAGCGGAUUCGCAGCUAAGCCACCCACUGGGGGAUUUCUUACAAAAAACAAUAAUAGUCGCUGGGAAAAUUAUAACGCUUUUGUCUUUGAUAAAUAAACUACAGGAGUUUUUCUUAUUUCAUCUCAUCCGAGUGAGAAUUUAGGUAUAAAAGGGGCGGAGAAGCUCCGCAUUCCAGGCUCGUGGCUCAUUGAUCUGGCGAUCGACAUUGUAAAGAUGAUACGCUCCAUUGUGGAUGACUUUGGUGACGAUGAAGGGGCCUUCCCAAGUAGGAGCGAGCUUGUGUGGUUUCUGUUGAUCCACUCGGAGGACCAAAUCUCCUUCUUGGAAGGCUCGACUCUUCACAUUUCUGGCAUGGAACCGACGCAAGUCUUGCUGAUAAAUGGUCGAUCGGAUCAUAGCCAUUUCUCUUUCUUCUUCCAGGAGGUCGACUGCGUCUUGCCGGGCUUGUUCUGCUUCAUCUUCGGUGUAAAGCUCGACUCGGGGUGCAUUCUGAAGUAGAUCACUCGGCAGGACUGCUUCCGCUCCGUAAACUAGAAAGAACGGGGUUCCUCCAGUCGACCUAUUCGGGGUGGUCCUCAAUCCCCAUAGAACCGACGGAAGCUCGUCGACCCAUGCACCUGCUGCGUGCUUGAGAUCACGCAUCAGCCGAGGUUUUAGUCCUUUGAGAAUCAGACCAUUUGCCCUUUCUGCUUGCCCAUUCGACUGGGGGUGGGUGACCGAUGCGUAGUUGACUCGUGCCUUGAGAGGCGCAAAAAGCUCUGAACUUGUCUGAAUCAAAGUUUGACCCAUUGUUAGUGAUGAUGCUAUGCGGGACCCCAUAUCUAUAUGUUAACUCCCUGACAAAACUGAUGGCAGUGCAAGCAUCAAGAUUCUUGAUAGGCUUGGCUUCAAUCCAUUUGUUAAACUUGUCGACUGCUACAAGCACAUGUGUGAAACCGCUCCUGCCUGUUCUCAAUGGACCAACCAUAUCCAACCCCCAAACAGCGAAGGGCCAGACGAGUGGAAUGGUCUUCAGGGCUGAUGCGGGUUUGUGCGACAUGUUGGAGUAGAACUGGCACCCUUCACACUUGUCGACUAUCUCUUUUGCCAUUUCAUUUGUUCUUGGCCAGUAAAAACCUGCUCGGUAUGCUUUAGCCACAAUGGUCCGAGAGGACGAAUGGUGACCACAGGUCCCCGAGUGGAUUUCAUCAAGGAUUAUCUGACCUUCUUCUGGUGUUAUACACUUCUGACCGACUCCAGUCGCGCUUUCUCUAUACAACUGUCCCUUUAUGACUGUGAAGGCCUUGGAUCGACGGACGAUCUGUCGAGCCUCUUCCUCGUCAUCCGGGAGUUCUUUCCUCAGGAUAUAUGCGAUGUACGGUAUUAUCCAGUCGGGGAUGAUUGCCAAGACUUCCAUGAUUAGGUUGACCACCGCUGGAAUUUCGACUCCAGUCGGAUCCGUGGCACUCUUUGGCUGCGGGACUUCAUCUGUAAAAGGAUCUUCUUGGACUGACGGCGAGUGGAUGUGUUCCAAAAACACAUUGCUGGGGAUGGCUUCUCUCUUGGAGCCUAUCUUUGCCAAAUCAUCAGCUGCUUGAUUUUUUAGUCGGGGGAUAUGAUGAAGCUCUAACCCCUCGAAUUUCUUCUCUAACUUUCUCACUACAUUACAAUAACCGGUCAUAGCUGGACUUCUGACGUCCCACUCCUUCAUCACCUGAUUAACCACCAAAUCUGAGUCGCCAUUAACCAUGAGGUGACGGACGCCGAGUGAAAUGGCCAUGCGCAGCCCAUACAAAAGUGCUUCAUAUUCUGCUUCAUUAUUGGAGGAAUCGAAGUGAAUCUGGAGAACAUAUCUGAGCUUAUCUCCUCGGGGGGAAACCAAUACUACCCCAACACCGGAACCAUUCAGCAUCUUAGAUCCAUCGAAGAACAUUGUCCAGUGCUCCGAGUGAACUUGAGUCGGAAGUUGCUGUUCAAUCCACUCGGCGACGAAAUCUGCAAUUGCUUGGGACUUGAUAGCUUUCUUUGCCUCAAACCUGAUAUCUAGGGGAAGGAGUUCAAUCGCCCAUUUGGCCACUCGACCAGUUGCGUCUCUGUUGUGCAAGAUCUCUGACAACGGAGCGUCGCUGACGACUGUAAUGGAAUGAUCAGAGAAGUAGUGGGCAACUUUCUUUGUAGUCAUGUAAAUCCCAUAUACGAGCUUCUGAUAAUGAGGGUAUCUUUGCUUCGAUGGGGUCAAGACUUCAGAAAUAUAAUAUACUGGGCGCUGAACUCUGAAGGCCUUUCCUUCUUCUUCCCGCUCGACCAUAAGUACUGUACUGACAACUUGUUCUGUGGCUGCAAUGUAAAGCAGUAAAGGCUCCUUGCUGAUUGGGGCAGCAAGCACCGGCUGGGUGGAGAGCAGAGCUUUGAGCUCUGCAAAUGCUGCAUCUUCUUCCGGAGUCCACUCGAACUUGUCAGACUUCUCCAUCAGUCGGUAAAGAGGCAAUGCCUUUUCACCGAGACGAGAGAUGAAUCGACUCAAAGCGGCCAAGAAACCUGUAAGCUUCUAAAUGUCAUGCACGCGCACAUGACGCUUCAUCCGGAGUAUAGUACCAAUUUUUUCAGGAUUGGCGUCGAUUCCCCGUUCGGAAACGAGAAAACCGAGUAGCUUUCUGCACGGAACUCCGAAUGUGCACUUUGACGGAUUGAGCUUGAUAUCAUACCUCCUGAGGUUGGCAAAGGUUUCAGCAAGGUCAGUCAGCAGGUCGGAACCCUUCCGUGACUUAACCACAAUAUCAUCCAUGUAUGCCUCCACAUUCCGAGUGAUUUGGGUGAGUAAACACUUCUGAAUCAUCCUCAUGAAUGUGGCUCCGGCAUUCUUGAGGCCGAAUGGCAUGGUAACAUAGCAGAAGCACCCGAAUGGGGUGAUGAAACCUGUUUUAAUCUCAUCAGGUCCAUACAGACGGAUCUGAUGGUACCCAGAAGAGGCGUCUAGAAAAGACAGUCGCUCACAUCCCGCAGUCGAGUCGAUUAUCUGGUCGAUGCGGGGGAGAGGAAAAUGAUCUUUCGGGCAGGCCCGAUUGAUAUGUUUAAAGUCAAUGCACAUGCGAAGUGACUUGUCCUUCUUGGAGACCAUGACAACAUUGGCGAGCCACUCGGAGUGGUAGAUUUCUCGGAUAAACUCCGCCGCUAAAAGCCGAGCUACCUCCUCGCCAAUAGCCUUUCUCUUCUGGACGGCGGACCAUCGGAGAUGUUCCUUGACAGGUUUUACUUUUGAGUUGACUCUUAGGCGGUGCUCAGCCAGCUCCCUGGGGACACCCGGCAUGUCAGAGGGCUUCCAUGCGAAGAUGUACCAGUUCUCACGGAGGAACUGGAUGAGCGCUUCUUCCUAUUUGGAGUCGAGCGUCGUUGAGACGUGAGUCGGAGCAGCAUUGGGAUCAGUCGGGUGAAUCUGAACUGGCUUCGUUUCGUCAGACGACUGAAAAGCUGAUUCUGAAGCAGGCUUCUUAGCUCGUAGUAAUUCACUCGGAUCAGCAGUCUUCUGGUAUUCUUGCAGCUCGACCACUUCCAUCUGAGCAUCAGCAAUCUUUGAGCCUUUCUGAAAACACUCUUCUGCUUUCUUCCGAUUGCCUAUAACGGUUAUCACACCUUUGGGACCAGGCAUCUUCAAGUUGAGAUACACAUAACACGGACGGGCCAUGAAGCGUGCAUAAGCCGGCCUGCCCAAAAUAGCGUGAUAGGCACUCUGGAAGUCCACAACUUCAAAUAUCAACUUCUCUUUCUGGUAAUUCUUGGAAUCACCAAAAACCACAUCAAGGGUAAUCUGGCCGAGUGAUUCAGCCUUCUUCCCAAGAAUGACCCCAUGGAAACUCAUGUUGCCGGUGCUGAGUCUGGACAUCGGAAUGCCCAUCCCUUUCAAUGUCUCUGCAUACAAUAUGUUCAAACCACUGCCACCAUCCAUCAGGACUUUGGUCAGUCGAGUGCCUUCAACCACUGGGUCGACCACCAGAGCUUGCCUCCCAGGGGUGGCAAUAUGCGUUGGGUGAUCGGACUGGUCGAACUUGAUGACAGUCUGAGACCAUUUCAGGUAACUCGGUGUCGCCGGAGUGACCAUAUUCACCUCUCGGUUAAUAACUUUCAAUCGACUUUUGCUCUCAACAUCAGCAAAAAUCAUCAAGGUGGAAUUGACUUGAGGGUAUCCAUCAUCACUGUCCUCUUUGUCUUCAACCUUGUCUGACUCCUUUUCCUUACCCUUGGGUUGCUUGCCUUGGAACUGCUGGAUCAAGAGUCGACACUGCCGAGUGGUAUGUUUCGGGUAAAUAAAAUUACCCUCUUCAUCUUUCUUCGUGUGGACGAGACACGGUAAAUCCAACACAUCAUUUCCGUCUUGAUCCUUAACCUUUUUGGGGUUCCAAGGCCCUUUAGGUUUUCCUUUAAACUUUCCCUGAGCUACAGCCAAGGCUUCCCCGGGAGCAGCUGGCUCGGCUUUCCGCUUCUGUUUCCGAUUGGAAUUCCCUCCGGUUUCUUGGGCGACUGACUUCAGCUUGCCGCUCCGGAGUCGAUCCUCAUCUUCACCAUUAGCAUACUUGGUGGCAAUCUCCAUCAUCCGAUUCAGGGACAUCUCUCCGGUUCGACCGAAUUUCAAACUCAGUUCUCUGUACUUGACACCCUCCUUGAAAGCACAAACUGCUUGGUGGUCAGGCACAUUCUCCACCGAGUGAUGCAACGUGAUCCACCUUUGGAUGUAAUCCCUCAAAGUUUCAUUUGGCUUCUGUACACAAGACCGCAGUUCUGUCAGCCCUGCCGGUUGUUUGCACGUGCCUUCGAAUGUGGUGACGAACACUCGGGAGAGAUCCUCCCAAGUGUAAAUGCUACUAGGCGCCAAAUAGUUCAGCCACGCUCUGGUCGAGCCCUCUAACAUGAGAGGCAGGUGCUUCAUGGCCACUUCAUCAUUGCCGCCGCCGAUCUGGACGGCCACUCGGUAAUCUUCCAGCCAAGUAUCGGGCUUUGACUCGCCAGUGAACUUACUGACUCCAGUCGCCAACCUGAAGUUGGGAGGAAUCACAGCGGCCCUGAUGGCUCGACUAAAGCACUCUGGCCCCGAUACAUGCACUCUGCUGCUGGUAGGAGCAUCUCUGUCGUGACCCUCUCGGUGAGCCCUGUUCCGGUCGACCAAACCUUGAAUGAGAAUGGAUCUCGCAUCAAAGCCUGGCCCUCUGGGGUCGACCGAAACCCUUCGCCCACCACUAUGAGUGCGCCUGUCAUCCUGCUGACGAGGCACAUACGACCCGCUCCUCGGGGGAGGCUUGGGCACUCGACGCCGACCGUCAUGACCGACUCGAUGUUCAUACUGCUCAUGGUUCCCAUACUGGUCACGCCGGUCUCCACGUCCCUCACGCCUCGGGGGCGAUCUCGGGCUGUGAGCCGACUGGACUGUGUCCAUGGCAACAGAUCUACUGUGAAUCCUGUUCCGUGACUGAGAAACAGCGGAAUUCUGAUCUCUUGCUGCCCGGAGCAACGCUCUGAUCUGCAGCAAGCCUCUACCAGCCUUCGACUGGGAAGGCUGAAUCGACUCCGCUACACGGGCUGCAGCUGCUAAAUUCUGAAUCGGAGUUCGAUAUACCUGCGGGGGCGGGAAGAGCUGACGUCGACUGGAUUCGGGAAUCCGUUGUCGCGCACGCUUGUCGAGUGCUCGUGGGAGGUUUUCCAGUCGAGUGCGCUCGGCCAGAUUCGCCAGGCGUGCGUCCUCCAAGGCGCGAGGCUCGGGGGUUUCUCCAAUGAUAGGAGUGUGCAGUGCAUCCAUGUUCCGGCGGCGAAGUUCUUCUCUUUGCAGUGACGUGAGAGGCUCGGGAAGAUACUCCUCAUGGGGACGUGACGGGUUGCCUCCACCCGCGCCUCCUUCGGCGCGGGGAAAACCGGGAGGACUAGGUGGUCCAUCGGCCAUCAGAACCUCCGCCGCCUAAUCGCUACUGUCGCACUCGGAUGUGGUCUCUGCGGGGCCAGUCGACAGAUCGAACAGGCCGUAGAGGGAUUCGUCGGGCUCGAUCGCCGCGACUUGAGGGGCGGCCGACUGACGUGCCACCGCGUGCCUCACCCGCCGCUGAAGUCUCGACCGACCGGAGCGCUUGUGCGAGCGGGAAACAGGGAGGGAGGACAGCACAGGAGCCGACCGGUAGGGGGUCGACAGUUGUCGUAGGAGAACGCCGCGGACGCACACGCUGAAGUGUGUUGCCCCGCGAGCAGGGAGUGCAUCCACAUCGAGCGGAGCCUCUCGGAGCCAAGCAGAGUCGUCGACGAUGAACGUGAGCGCGCCGAGACGGAUCUAGCGGCUCUCCACCAAAACUCCGCCGAAAACCAUGAUGAUUCGGGUCGGAAAAAAGCUGCAACUUCUCCAACAAACGCUAAAACACCAGCCCCAUGGUGGGCGCCAACUGUCGUGGUUCUAACUCUGACAGUGAUGUAGGGGGGUAUGUAUGGAGAGGCUAGAUCUCAGCUAUGGAGGAGUUGUAAGAACACACAAGGAUUACGAGUUCAGGCCCUUCUCGGAGGAAGUAAUAGCCCUACGUCUCGGUGCCCGGAGGCGGUCGACUGAAUUAUGUGUGUAUGAAUAACAGGGGUGCGAACCCCUGAUACUGAGGAGGGGGCUGGCUUAUAUAGAGUUGGCCAGCCCUCUCCAGCCCCCAGUAAUGCAGGGUUUUAAAGUACAUUAAGACUGGGGGGUUACUGGUAACGCCCUAAUAAAGUGCUAUGAUGACCAUAAAAGCUACUUAAUGACCAACCGUUUGCGUGCGGGGUGACUUUAGAUCUCCUGGCAGUCGAGUGGUUGGAUCUUGGUCGAGUGAUUGCUUCGUGGUCGAGUGUCUUGAAUCCGUCGAGUGGGAUACCUCCAAGUCGAUUGAAAGGUGACUUCUUCUAGGGAUGUCCUUGGGUAGGGUACUUAGGACAGGUCCAUGCCCCUACCCUAGGUACAUAGCUUCAUCAAGCCGUGCCUGCGGUUAUGGGCAGAUGGGAAUUUGUUAACGUUCGGUUGUAGAAAACCUGAAGUUGACCUUAAUUAAAAUACAUCAACCGCAUGUGUUACCGUGAUGGUCUCUUCUCGGCGGAGUCCGGGAAGUGAACACGGUGUUGGAGUUAUGCUUGACGUAGGUUGUUCUAGGAUCACUUCUUGAUCAUAGUUUUCUCGAUCGUGCUUUGCCUUCUCUUCUCGCUCUCAUUUGCGUAUGUUAGCCACCAUAUAUGCUAGUCGCUUGCUGCAGCUCCACCUCAUACCUUUUACCUUACCCAUAAGCUUAAAUAGUCUUGAUCGCGAGGGUGUGAGAUCGCUCAGUCCUUGUGACUCACAGAUACUUCCAAAACCAGCCUGUAGGUGCCGUUGAACCGUGCCGGUGACGCAACUGAGCUCAGGAGUAGCUCGUUGAAGACUUUGUCCGUUGUGUUGUUUCAUUCCAGUUGAUCAGUAGUGGAGCCCAGUUGGGGUCGAUCGGGGACCUUGUCGCAUUUGGGGUUCUUCUUUUAUUUUGGUUCCGUAGUCGGACCUUGAUUGUAUUUGGAUGAUGUAAUGCUUUAUUCAUGUAUUGUGUGAAGUGGCGAUUGUAAGCCAACUAUGUAUCUCUUUCCCUUAUGUAUUACAUGGGUUGUGUGAAGAUUACCUCACUUGCGACAUUGCUUUCAAUGCGGUUAUGCCUCUAAGUCGUGCUUCGACACAUGGGAGAUAUAGCCGCAUCGAGGGCGUGACAAGUUGGUAUCAGAGCCUUCCCCGACCUUAGGAACCCCAUUGCGUGAUCGAACUAGCAGCCGAGUUGAGUGUAGAAAAAUGUUUUGAGUCUUUUAGGAAUUAUAUAUCGGAGAGUUCAUGAAUUCUUUUUACUCCCCAGUCCCUUCAUCGCUCUAGUAAGGGAUCCUGACGUAGAGUUUUGACUCUUCUCUUCUCAAUUUUUCACAAAAAAUUUUUAGGAUCACGCGGGUAUCUUGGAAUCGUUCCGAUCGAUUUGUGACGAGAACAUUGUUCUUGGUGCCUCCUGUCAUUUAGGGGUUGUGGCAGUGUCCCGGGGAGUUGAGCUCCGAGGUGUUGUCAUCACAAUUUUAUCGUUGUAGUUUUGGAAUACCUGAGUUUAGUUCGCCGACAUCGAAAAUCUCUUUUAUGCAGUUGUUGGUGAGAUAACCUCGACGCCACCCAGUACUGGGGCAGGAGUUCGGGAGUAUUGCCAUAACUUGUAUAACAGAUACUUUUCGAAGGUUGAGGUAGAUGAUUUCCGAAGGUUUCUUGGUUAUGUGUUGAAGGAUGGAUACAGCUGGAUGUAGGAUUUGCUAGUUUUGGGUGAGAUAUUAUGCUUCCCCUGUAUCCCCAACACCUGAUUGCAUAUCCGGAAAGUUUCGGGAGUUUAUAAGUGGGAAUUCAAGUAGCUCUUAGAAUAUCUUUCCGACAGGUGUAUGAUAUGAAAUUGGGGUUUGACGUCUAGUGGUCCGCCUAUUGACGGUCGGAUUUACAGUGGUCUCAUUGUGUCUUAAAGAGUCCUUGGCUAUGCCGACUUGGGGAUGCUUCGUAUGUCAUGUGCACUGCCUUGUACAUGAUGGUGUUGUACGAUCGAGCCCGUGUAGGCCCCACCACGAAAAUUUCGGACGAAAUUUCGAUCAUAUGUUUGUUCUGGCUUAUUCCGCAAGCCAAUCCUUUGUUUUGUUUUGAGUUCUGGUAUUCGAGUUGCUUCGAAGUCAAAUGUUGAUUCCAUACCUUCUCUAAACGGUGUUCUCAUACUCCGAUGUGAAUACCAAUCCUUCUUGAUAAUUGAGAUUGACAUGUCAAUCCUUUUCAAUCGGUGUGUCUCUCGUCAAGUGGAUCCGAUCACUUCAACAUUCGCAAGAUCAAUUAUCAGUUUUUCUCUACAGUGUUUGUUUCAUCUGUCUCCAAGUUGCCUUUGUUUUUCCCGCCCACCCACCCUUUUUCCUCAAGGACUCGGAUUUCUUAAUCAAGUAUCCUUUUAUUCAUGAGAAUUCUCUCCAUUCUUUUUCCUUCAUGUUUUUACCCGGUGUUUCUCAUGAAGAUGCUCUACUCGUUCGUCAUUCUUCAUUCUUUUCAUCUCCGGUGGUUCCAAAUCAAGUUUUCGUUGUUGACCAUAUCCUUUUCCUCGUUUCAAAUAUCUUCUCGUGCCGGUGCACCUCAUUUGUCAUUCCAUUUCUCGCUAUUCAUUUGUUCCGGAGUGCUAAAGAUAUCUCAAGGCUCGUCUUGUCAUUCAAGAGCCGUUCAACUUAUUUCGAUGUUGUUAUCUCAUUCAAGCCGUUUAAUUCAACUGGUGCUAUCCCCUUUUCAAGCAAUCAUUUCAACGGUGUUUCUUUUUAGUGGGCCCUAACCCACAGGUCUUUUUUCAGGAUCUUACCUGACUCUUCUUAUUUUCCCGGAGCUACCAUCAAAUUCUUUUCGAAGUUUGACGUAAGAAUGAAUUGUCAUCAGUCAAAUGCCUUUCUCCAAGAUCUUUCAAAUUCUUUUUAUCGUUGGCUCAACUUUUCCAUCUUUUUAUUCCCGUGUGCCUCAAUAAUUCUUGGUGGUGUUUCUCGUUGUCAUUCUCCUCAUUUGAAGAUCAAAGAAGAUUUUUCUGUCAAUCUUGCUCUUUUCUCUUCAAGAUUCGUGGUUCUAGCUUGUUGCCAUCCUCUCAUAAUUAUUUUCGAUUGUGGGAAUUCUUUUCACCUAUCCGAAGUAAUUCAAGAGUCUUCUCAGUUUGUUAUCCAGAGUCCAUCAAUUCAGGUUUAUUCAUUCUCAACUGUCAGUUAUCAUUCUCCUAUCUUACCGGUGCAUCAGUCAAGUAUUCUCUAAUCAGUUCAUGAACUAUUCGUCCUCUUGUAUCUAAAUUCUCUCAAGUAUCUUCGUUCAUUUCAUAAUUCUUCCCGGUGUUUCUUUAUCUUUUCUGCGUUCAUUUUCAAUUCUUACGGUGGUUUGCUCACGAUGCUCUUCCGUUUCUAUGGUAUUAAUUUAUCCGUUGUCACAAUCCUACCGGUGUUUCGUUGAAGACCUUAUCAAGUUAUCGAUAUCUCUCUUAAGCCUUUCGACGAGAAUAAGUAGUAUGUCAAAUCCGUUGCUCGUCAUCAAUUUAAUUGGUGAAGGAUAAGCAUAAUGUAAUUCUUAUUCUUGUUUCAUCGAGUGAACUCAAUUCCCUAUUCCGGAGGCUCAUCAAAUUCUCGGUUUCACUUGAUUCAUCUUUCUUUUCCGGAGUUCCAAGCUCUUUCAAUUAUAUCAUUUCAAAGCUUCAUCUAAUCAUUGCAAGGCUUCAAUCUUAUUCUUUUCAUCCUACACUUCCUUUUGAUCAUUCUUUUAUUACCGGAGUUCUUCACGAAGGCUCAACAUGAUCUUUUGCAAGGAUACUUUUCAUUCUUCAAUUGUUCUUCAAGAUUUCUCUCGGAGCUAAGAUCUGCCAAGAUAUUACUCUAAAAUAAACAUGGUGCCCAACACAUGUUUUGUCUGAGGAGUUCAAGCCUUCUUCAUCUUGCAUUCUGAAGUGCAAUUCUUUCUACCGUAUCAUUUGAGGUGGUGCUAUGUCAUUCUUCAUAAUUUGAGUUCAUAUUUCAUGAUUCACAUGUUGUCAAGAAUGAGAUAUCUUAAAUCCAUCAAUCUCUUCAUUGGAGUUACCUUGGGUUAUAUUUCACCUAAAGCCUUCCGUAAGGAUGUUGCUAUUUAUGGUGCUUAUAAAUGACCCUAGUUCUUCAUUUAUCCUCCCGGUGAAAUGAGUUUCUCGUUUCCUUGUUGAUAUCAAUUCAAAUCCAUUGUUUUCUAUUAGUGGCAGAAUUUUCACCUCAUAGUUUUCAGAUGUUCUCCAUAAGACCACUACAAGCUUACUCUUUUUCAUUGUUGUUUUUACCAACAACUCCGUUUCGAACCUUCUCCUAAAGAUGUUUUUGCAAGAUCAUUUGAGGUAGAAGAUAUUGUUUUCUCCUCCAUUCAUUCCAUUUCGUCCUCUCAUUUCUUCCGGAGGCGUUGUGAUGUUGCUCUUUUCUCUCAUCAUCUCACAUGGUGUUCUUUUCGUGCUUACCCAUUUAACCGGAGUGUUGUGCCCCUUUGCUCAAAUCCUUUUCAUCCUAUCAAGUUUUGCAUCUCUUUUCAAUCGGAGUGCUUUCAACUUUGUUCUUCCUCGUUCCUCUUUCCUAAUGGAGUGCUUUCAACUUCGCUCAUCUCCGUUGUAUUUUUUUUCUUUUCUCGAAAUGGCUUAACCUUUUCAAGGUUCUUUGGUUUCACUCAUUUGUCAAAGAAGCAACUUAGCUUUACCUCUUCUCUUUCUCUUCCGUUUUUCCUUCCGGUGCCAUUCUAGAUCUCAGGACGAGAUCCUCUCGUAGUGGUGGAGUGUUGUAACACCCCGAGGCCGAUGUGCCAGGUGUCGUCCAGUUAUUCGCUGUUGUUGCCUCAUCAUUUGCUUGCGUGUCAUGCAUUUCAUAUCUUUGCAUCAUGUGCAUUGCAUCAUGUCAUAAAUCUUUUGCAUCUCAACUAAAUAAUUUGUGUGGAUCUUCGAUCCAUUUAAAUCGAGGGAAGAGUGACUUCUCUUUAUAACUUUAUCCUCCUAAUAUUUAGGGAGUUAUUAUAAAUAUUCCAUUAAUUUGGAAUCAUCGUAACACACGUGCAAAAUAAUUCCCAUGUCUAUUCCUCUUCGAUUUUGACCUUCAAACCUUGCAAAUAUCUCUCAUCUCUUUUCUCGAGGCUCCUCCUAAAACCUCAACAUUUUUGGACACCUCUUAUUCCUAGCCCUUGUUCAAACCAUUUGAAUUAAAUUCAAAUGAUUUUGAAUUAAAUCCUUGCGAUCAUGCCUCUCCUAUUUUUCUUGGAACCAGCGCAUUUUUGCGAGUUCGGGAAUAUUAUUUGCGUGCGCUAAUUCUUUCCCUAUCCCUCUCUUUCUUUUCGUCUCUCCAAUUCUUUUCUGUUAAAGGAAAUAUGAGAGAGAGAGAAGAGAGAUAGCACAGGCUGGCCCAACCUCCAGCGCAGGCCCAUUUGCCCCUCCAAGGCCCAGCCAUCCCACCUACACCUAACCCUAGCCCACACCCUUUGGACGAUCCUCUCUCCCCCCUUUGUUUCCUGCUUGCGCCGCCAUGAGAGGAUCGCUCGCACCCGACUCCCUCUCCCUCUCCAUUCGCUCGAUCUCCCCACCUCUCGCUCCCGUGUCCGAACCACCUGCGCCUCCCUCUCUCUCGCUCACGCCGACCCCUCCACUCCUUCUUCCAGCAAGGCCCCGCACCACUCGUCCCAAUUUUGGCCGAAGCUCGCCGGAGCCACAACACCGGCCGUCACCGGACCUCCUCCUCGGCUCCACCCUGCCGGCUCCCGGUGCCUCCGCCUCACCCACGAUACCCCACCGCCUACAGUGAACGUCGCCGGCCUCUCCUUCUUCCCCCCGUGCGCCUCCCUCUCCUGCAAGGACGCCCCUCGCCUUGCCGCAGCCGAGCUGCGCCACGGCGUCGACCGGUGCUGGCCUUGACCUCUUCACCUGUUGUCAAGCUCCUGGAGCUGCCGCUGCUCCCUGCAUCGCCGUGCCCUCAAGUGCAUCGUCUCCCGCAGCCGGUCCAGGAGCUCCUUCGCGCCUUGCUGCCGCUGUCCUUCUACAGCGCCGCCGUCCGUGUCCGCAAGAGGCCGUCGCUCGUCUCGCCCCUCUGCUGCCGGCGACCGAGGCCGCUGGGGCAUGCCCGCAGUCACCCAGCGCCGCCUUGCGCCGCUCCUCUUCCUCGCGUGACCCAAGGCCCCUUGUGCUGUUUUGUGUUGGACGUCAAGGCCACCAAGUUCGACUACGGGUAUUCGCCAAGUACCAUUCGGAUACCGCCAAUUUUGACUACCGCAUGGUUACGCCAAGUUCAUGUACGAAACGUGUACAUCUACUCCGUCAAGACCCGGACCGACAAGUACCCCAACGUCAUGUGUACAACGACCGUUGCCGAAGACCCGGAUAGCAAAACGUCAAGUACCUGUGACCGAAGAACGCCAUGUACCUCUCCGAAAAACGAACAUGUACCACUACGUCCGAAGACCUCGAAACCGUCAAGUCCGACAACGAUUGUGCACAACUACCGACGACGUGCAUGUUGCCAAGUACCCUAUCCGGAUCGUCAUGUUCCACUACCGUCGGCGAGAUCGCGAGAACCUCUACUGUCGACCCUAGAGCAUGCGAGAACGUCUACAUCCACUACUGCCGUCGCAAGAAUGUCUACUUCCCUCUACGAACGAGAACCGUCCCCUUCACACGCUUCAAAGGUAUAACCCCGAGACGAUCGUCCGAGAACGAAUGCUUGUGUCGUAUGAGAUGCACCCUUUGUCUGCACCGUGUCCGGAGUGUCUCUCGCUUCCAUGCCAUCGACUCGUGGGCACCCAGAAUCCGGGAGUGCCCCACCAUCUUUUGCAUGCAUCUGCACACUUCUCCUUUGCAUCGGUAUCUCAAUCGAGUUACCGGAACCGGAACGUUCCCGUGGCACCAUUUCCGUUAUCGUCGCCGUGGCACCCUUUCUUUCUGCCACGAUGACAAAUGCUCCAUAUUAUGCUUAUGUCAACUUUAAAUUAAAAUUGCAUAAACUUGUUCAUGCCAUCCGCAUCAUGAUAAGCACUUCAAGAAUGUUUAAAGUGUUGUUUGCAUUAAAUUACUAAUGCAUAUGGGGAUUUACCGGGUUUGUUGUUUGUUAUAUCCGACCCCAUUUAAAUUGUUUAGGUGGUAUAGUUUUCUUAUGUUUCACCUCUUGACAUGCUUAACAACAUUUAAUAUUGUUGGGUACAUAAACGAGAUCGAACUAAAUAACUUGAAUGUGGUGUUUCGUCAAUAUGUAACGGAGUUGCAUGUUGAGAUCCACUUAAUUUGUAGGAUUGUUUGUGCAUUUUGCCAUGCCAUGCUUCUUUAAACCGGACAUGCAUCCUACUUGGUUGUGCAUCAUGCCAUGUUGUUGUAGUGGUUGUUUACUAUGUUGUUUGCUUUCUUUCCGGUGUACUUCUUCUCGGUAAUCCGGUAACGUCGCGUUUGUGAGGAACCGUUUGACUACGUCCGUUUGUCUUCUUCAUGGACUCGUUCUUCUUCCUUGCGGGAUUUCAGGCAAGAUGACCAUACCCUCGAAAUCACUUCUAUCUUUGCUUGCUAGUUGCUCGCUCUUUUGCUAUGCCUAUGGUGCGAUACCUACCACUUGCUUGUCAUGCCUCCCAUAUUGUUGAACCAAGCCUCUAACCCACCUUGUCCUAGCAAACCGUUGUUUGGCUAUGUUACCGCUUUGCUCAGCCCCUCUUAUAGUGUUGUUAGUUGCAGGUGAAGAUUGAAGUUUGUUCCUUGUUGGAACAUGGAGAUGUUAUUCCUUGUUGGAACAUGUUUACUUGUUGGCAUAUCACAAUAUCUCUUAUCUAAUUAAUGCACCUAUAUACUUGGUAAAGGGUGGAAGGCUCGGCCUUAUGCCUGGUGUUUUGUUCCACUCUUGCCGCCCUAGUUUCCGUCAUAUCGGUGUUAUGUUCCCGGAUUUUGCGUUCCUUACGUGGUUGGGUAUAAUGGGAACCCCUUGACAGUUCGCCUUGAAUAAAACUCCUCCAGCAAGGCCCAACAUUGGUUUUACCAUUCGCCACCUAGACUUUUCUUUCCCUUGAGUCGGCCGGCUCAAGGGUCAUCUUUAUUUAAACCCCCGGGCCAGUGCUCCUCUGAGUGUUGGUCCACCUUGUCGGCCGCCGGUGGCCACCAGGGGCAACUCUGGGCUGGCCUACCGAAAGUUUGGACAAUCCGGUGUGCCCUGAGAACGAGAUAUGUGCAGCUCUAUCGGGAUUUGUCGGCACAUUCGGGUGGCUUUGCUGGUCUUGUUUUACCAUUGUCGAAAUGUCUUGUAACCGGGAUUCCGAGUCUGAUCGGGUCAUCCCGCUAGAAGGAAUAUCCUUCAUUGACCAUGAGAGCUUGUGAUGGGCUAUUUUGGGACACCCCUGCAGGGAUUUGAACUUUCAAAAGCCGUGCCCGCGGUUAUGGGCAGAUGGGACUUUGUUAACGUCCAGUUGUAGAAAACCUGAAGUUGACCUUAAUUAAAAUACAUCAACCGCGUGUGUUACCGUGAUGGUCUCUUCUCGGCGGAGUCCGGGAAGUGAACACGGUGUUGGAGUUAUGCUUGACGUAGGUUGUUCUAGGAUCACUUCUUGAUCAUAGUUUUCUCGAUCGUGCUUUGCCUUCUCUUCUCGCUCUCAUUUGCAUAUGUUAGCCACCAUAUAUGCUAGUCGCUUGCUGCAGCUCCACCUCAUACCUUUUACCUUACCCAUAAGCUUAAUUAGUCUUGAUCGCGAGGGUGUGAGAUUGCUGAGUCCUUGUGACUCACAGAUACUUCCAAAACCAGCCUGCAGGUGCCGUUGAACCGUGCCGGUGACGCAACUGAGCUCAGGAGUAGCUCGAUGAAGACUUUGUCCGUUGUGUUGUUUCAUUCCAGUUGAUCAGUAGUGGAGCCCAGUUGGGGUCGAUCGGGGACCUUGUUGCAUUUGGGGUUCUUCUUUUAUUUUGGUUCCAUAGUCGGACCUUGAUUGUAUUUGGAUGAUGUAAUGCUUUAUUCAUGUAUUGUGUGAAGUGGCGAUUGGGUUGUGUGAAGAUUACCUCACUUGCGACAUUGCUUUCAAUGCGGUUAUGCCUCUAAGUCGUGCUUCGACACGUGGGAGAUAUAGCCGCAUCGAGGGCGUGACAUGAGUCCACCAUACCUACCUAUAUACAGUAUCUACCUGCCAUUCCAAGUAAAUUUGUAUGUGCCAAACUCUAAACCUUCAAAUAAAUAUCCUAUUUUGUAUGCUCGAAUAGCUCAUGUAUCAACUAGGGCUGUCUGUAUCUUCUAUGUUAGGCAGGUUAUUCUCAAGAGGAGUGGACUCCGCUCCUCACUCACGAGAAAAAUGGUUGGUCACCGGGAUGCCCAGUCCCAUGCUUUAUGCAAAUCAAAUCAAAAUAAUUGCAAACAAAACUCCCCCUGGGACUCUUGUUAGUUGGAGGCACUCGUUGUUUCGAGCAAGCCAUGGAUUGAUGCUUGUUGGUGGUGGGGGGGGGGAGUACACACUUUACCAUUUUGUUUGGGAACCGCCUAUAAUGUGUGUAGCAUGGAAGAUAUUGUCAUCUCUUGGUUGUUAUGUUGACAAUGAAAGUAUACCUCUCAAAAUAUUAUUCACCUCUAUUUCAAAAUCGAGCUCUGGCACCUCUACAAAUUCCCUGCUUCCCUCUGCGAAGGGCCUAUCUAUUUACUUUCAUGCUGAGUCAUCAUCCUCUUAUUAAAAAGCACCAGUUGGAGAGCACCACUAUCAUUUGCAUUCAUUACUGUUAGUUUACAUUGAGUAUGACUUGACUGGAUCUCUUUUAUCAUGAAUUACAAUGUCUAGUCAGUCCUUUAUCUUUAAAGGUGCUCUGUAUUUAUGUUUUGCGGUCUCAGAAAGGGCUAGCGAGAUACCAUCUUGUUAUAUCAUAUUAUGAUUGUUUUGAGAAAGUGUUGUCCUCCGAGAUUAAUUAUUAUUGCUCGCUAGUUGAUUAUGCCAUUGAUAUAAGUAAACUUGAGACCUAAGCAUUAUUGUGAAUGUGGUUAGUCAUAAUCUUUGAUGAAAACUUGAAUGCUGGCUUUACAUAUUUACAACAACAAGAGCAAACAAAGUUUGUAAAAGUUUUUCUUUAUCACUUUCAGUUUAUCAACUGAAUUGCUUGAGGACAAGCAAGGGUUUAAGCUUGGGGGAGUUGAUACGUCUCCAUCGUAUCUACUUUUCCAAACACUUUUACCCUUGUUUUGGACUCUAACUUGCAUGAUUUGAAUGGAACUAACUCGGACUGGCACUGUUUUCAGCAGAAUUACCAUGGUGUUAUUUAUGUGCAGAAACAAAAGUUCUCGGAAUGACCUGAAACUUCACGGAACAACUUUUCGGAAAUAAUAAAAAAUCCUUGCAAAAGAUGAAGGCCAGGGGGGCCACCACCUGUCCACGAGGGUGGGGGGCGCGCCCCCCUACCUCGUAGGCCCCCUGGAGCUCCUCCGACCUCAACUCCAACUCUAUAUAUUUGGUUUCAGAGAGAAAAAAACCAGAGAGAAGGAUUCAUCGUGUUUUACGAUACGGAGCCGCCGCCAAGCCCUAAAACCUCCCGGGAAGGCUGACCUGGAGUCCGUUCGGGGCUCCGGAGAGGGGAAUCCGUCGCCAUCAUCAUCAACCAUCCUCCAUCACCAAUUUCAUGAUGCUCACCGCCGUGCAUGAUUAAUUCCAUCGUAGGCUUGUUGGACGGUGAUGGGUUGGAUGGGAUCUAUCAUGUAAUCGAGUUAGUUUUGUUAGGGUUUGAUCCCUAGUAUCCACUAUGUUCUGAGAUUGAUGUUGCUAUGACUUUGUUAUGCUUAAUGCUUGUCACUAGGGCCCGAGUGCCAUGAUUUCAGAUCUGAACCUAUUAUGUUUUCAUCAAUAUAUGAGAGUUCUUGAUCCUAUCUUGCAAGUCUAUAGUCACCUAUUAUGUGUUAUGAUCCACUAACCCCGAAGUGACAAUAAUCGGGAUACUUACCGGUGAUGACCGUAGUUUGAGGAGUUCAUGUAUUCACAAUGUGUUAAUGCUUUGGUCCGGUACUCUAUUAAAAGGAGGCCUUAAUAUCCCUUAGUUUCCAUUAGGACCCCGCUGCCACGGGAGGGUAGGACAAAAGAUGUCAUGCAAGUUCUUUUCCAUAUGCACGUAUGACUAUAUUCGGAAUACAUGCCUACAUUACAUUGAUGAACUGGAGCUAGUUCUGUGUCACCCUAUGUUAUGAUUGUUACAUGAUGAACCACAUCUGGCACAAUUCUCUAUCUCCAAUCCAUUGCCUACGAGCUUUCCAUAUAUUGUUCUUCGCUUAUUUACUUUUUCGUUGCUAUUGCUAUCAUCACUACAAAAUACCAAAAACAUUACUUUUGCUAUCAUUACCUUUUGCUACCGUUACCACUACUAUCAUAUUACUUUGCUACUAAACACUUUGCUGCAGAUACUAAGUUUCCAGGUGUGGUUGAAUUGACAACUCAGCUGCUAAUACUUGAGAAUAUUCUUUGGCUCCCCUUGUGUCGAAUCAAUAAAUUUGGGUUGAAUACUCUACCCUCGAAAACUGUUGUGACCCCCUAUACUUGUGGGUUAUCAGUCACAUCGGUGCAGAACCAUCCGGGAGCGAGCAUCCUUAACAGAGAAACCGAGAGCGUCAAACUCAAUAGUGACAGGAUUUUCACGAGUAAGAGUACGAACAGAACAGAGGUUUUUAAUUAAAGAUGGUGAAACGAGCACAUUAUUGAGGGUUAAAGAAGAAGAGGGUAACGGAAGGGAGGAUGAACCAUGAUGAGUGAUGGGAAGAGAGCUCCCAUCACCAACCAUGAUGCGCGAGGAGAAGGGAUAGGGGGAGGCAUGAGAUAAGAUACCGGGGUUAGAGGCCAUGUGAGCAGCGGCGCCGGUGUCCAUGUACCAAUCGCCGCCUCCGUUGUAGGUGCUCGGCGAGGGGGCAACAUGGAGGGCGGAGAGGAGCGCUGGGUCAUAGACAGGAGGAGCGCCACCAUAUGCACCAUAGCCUAGAGGGCCGCCGUACGCCGAGGGAACCAGCAUGGUCAACAGUGCUUGAGGACGAGUCGACCAUGGUCCGAGUAUACUCGGAGCCGGUGGGUGGGGAACGGGCAUAGAGUAGGCAUGCACGACGCCCGUGCAUGCGUUAUACCCCGAGAGCCAAGGCGGAGGAGGAGCAGCCGCGGCGGGUGCGCGGGGGGGAGGGGCGUUGUGUUGGAGUUGCGGCCCCGGCCCCCGCGACCCUUCUGCUUGCGGCCGCCAGAGGGUGCGGGCGCGGGUGGCGGGGCAGGAGCAGACGCGCGCGACCCCGACUGAGUUGGGGAAGCACCGUGGCCGGCGGCGAUGCCAACGUGAAGAGCGGCGUGGGUGGCCUGCCGGGCGGAGUGGCGGAGGCGCUUCUCCUUCAUACGAAGGUACGUGACCGCCUUCGCGUAUGUCGGCGUGACGAGGGAGAGGUUGGCGGCGGACUGGCCAAGGUCGGGGUGGAGGCGCCGAAGGAGGUUGGUGAGGAGGACGGAGUCAUCGAUGUUCAUGCCGACGUCGCGCAACUCGUCGGCGAGAACCUUCAGCCGCGUGCAAUACUCAUCGACCGAAAGAUCGUUUUGUUGCAUAGUGAAGAAUUCACCUUGGAGGAAGACACGGCGUUGGAGCUGAUUGUCGAGGAAGAGAUCGCACAGCCGUGUCCACAUGGCGUACGCCGAGGGGUCACGGGAGUUCACCAUGUUGAAGAGGCCUAGAGAGAUGGUGAGGAAGAGCCACUUGACGAUGCAGGCGUCCACGGCAAGCCACUUGUCGUCGUCCUUCAUCUCGCAGAAGUCGAUGCUCCUAUCAACGUGCUCGAUGAGACGGUAGGAGCGGAACAAAAGCGCGAAGUAGGUGCGCCAUGCGUUGUAGGACGGCGAGUCGAGGUCGAGGAUGACGGGCACAUGAUCCUUGAUGUGGAGCUCAUUGAGAAGAUCUGAGGUGAACAUGGCACCGGUAAAGGAGCCGGCGUCAGAGGGGUCGGCUUGGAGUGAGACAUGGUGGAGGAGGAGGGUAGUGCGGCUAGGGUUUUGGGAGGUGGUGGAGGGAGAAGAUGGCAGCGGCGGAAGGUGGCGGCUGCGUGGGAGGGGAAGAGAGGGCGGCGGCUGCGAGGAGAGGCAGCGGCAGGGUGUAGGGUUUGGGAGGGGAGGGAAGGGUGGCGGCUACAAGGGGAGGCAGCAGCGGGUUUAGGGUUUGGGGAGGGGUGCGGCGGCUGCUACGGGAGAGAAGCGGCGGCGGCGGGGUUGGGUGAGUUGUGAGGCGGCGGCUGCCGGAGACGCGCGGCGGCGUAGGGUUGAGGUGGCGCGGCGGCGACGGCUAUAGGGAGAAGCGGCGGCAGCGGCGGCGCAAGGCGGAAGCGAUGAAGAUCGUAGGGUAAACUGAUACCAUGUGGAAAGGUGUAGGAUGCAACUCAUUGUAUUCCAUGGAGUAGGUUACAAUAUAUACACAGGAUGUCUUGCGUGACAAGGAAACUAAUCCUACCAUAUCUCUAGAAGUCAGCUAUACAAGGCUAGAGAAGAUAGGAAUAUCAAUACAAGAUAUGUCACAUUCAACAACAUCUACCCGAAGAACUACUUUUGAAGGAUAUAUGGUACUCAAGAGAGAGAGGCAACAUUGAUUGCUUGGGAGAAAGCAUGUCAACCAAAGGAAAAUGGGGGAUUGGGCAUCUUGGAUAUUGAGACACACAAUCAAGCCCUACUUAUGAAACACAUUCAUAAAUUUCUCAAUAAGGUAGAUACCCCUUGGGUUAAGAUCUUUUGGGAAACUCCCUAUUCUAACUCCUCGCCUGGAGAUAGAAUGGUGGGAUCAUUCUGGUGGAAAUCAUUGCUUAAGCUCUUGCCCACAUAUAAGAGGUUUGCUACAUGCAAAGCUAAUUCAGGAAAUGCAACUCUUUUCUGGUCCAACUGCUAUCAACCUCUUGUUAACAAAUUUCCUGAGGUCAGUUCUUUCUCCAAUAACAAGACCAUUGCUCUCCAGCAAAUUCUCAGAACACAAGACCUUACAGAACACUUCCAUAAACCCAUGUCGCAGCAAGCAUUGCAUCAGUCCAACUUUCUGUAGACAUACCUACAGGAUAGAACUGAAGUGAACUCUAUAGAUGCAUGGGUAGUCAAGGGGACUACCAGAGGAUAUUCUUCCAUGAAGAUGUAUAAGCACAUGAUGGGAUUUAAGAAUGCUCACACUUUGUUCAGAGACAUAUGGAAAACCUCAUGUAAACUGAGACAUAAGAGAUUCUUUUAGUUGCUCCUUCAUGAUAGGGUUAAUACAAGAAACCUCCUUAAUCGAAAGAUUAUGCACUCGGACAACUAUAACUAUGCAAUCUGUGUGGAUAACAUGGAAGAAACCUUGUUGCACCUAUUCUAGAACUGCCCCUUUGCUCUUAAUUGCUGGGAUCAUAUUAUUCCAAAUAGAAACAGAGGAAUCUUAUUGUUUGAUGAAAUUCAACUUGCUCUGCUUCAUCUACCAUGGAAAAUUGCCUUGGACAUUGUGGUUAUGGAAUGAUGGGGUAUCUGGUCUACUAGAAAUGAUAAGAUCUUCAAGUCUGCUACUCCUCAUAUUCCUGGAUGGAUUCACUACUUGCAAGAUGGCCUAUGGGUCGCUCAGAUCAAAGCCAAGUCGGCUAAAGCUGAAAAGAUCAAAAUUUGGGUAGAAUAGAACUUAUAACUAUUUGAUGAUCAUGUUUCACAGAACUUACAUGGUUACAGUUGUUGUGUAGCAAAUACUUACAUUCCAAAACUCUGGCACAAGUCAGGGCACAACAGAUUGAUUCUUCUUUUGAAAUGGCUAAUGAGGACAAGUGCUUCCAUCUUCAACCAGAGCAAAUUCAUAGUUGGGAACGAAAAUAGUACUAGAUUUUGGCAAGAUACCUGGCCGGGAGAAUCACCAUUAAGUUUGCAGUAUCCUUUCCUUUACAACACUGCACAACAGAAAGAGGUAUUCGUUAGUACAGUGUUGGGUUAUGUUCCUCUCAAUAUUCAGUUUAGGCGUAUGCAGGUGGGGGAAUGAUAGGAUAGAUGGUUGCAUCUUAUGCAUAGGUUAAUGGAGAUUAACCUUUCUAAUAUGCGGAUUCUUUACUCUGAAAGUUAUCUGUGUUAGGUGUAUUCUUAGUUAAGUCCAUGUAUACAGACUUGGUAAACACCGGGCCUAUCCCGAGAUCGCUUCACAUUUAAAAAAUCAAGGUGUUGUUAAAAAUCAAGGUAUUUAUAUGGUUUGUGCAUAAGGGAGUAAUUUUGACAAAGUAUAACUUGGCAAAGUGUGGUUGAGAGGGUAGUAAACGGUGUUGCUUUUGUGAUCAGGGCGAAUCAAUACAACAUCUUUCUCUCCAAUACCCACUUGCCAAGUUAUUAUGGCGGACCAUUCAUGUGUUCUUUAAUGUAUCCCCCAACACUUUAUCAAGUUUAUUGGGGACUUGGUUAACUGGUGUAGAGCCUAAGGCGGCGGAACAUAUUCGAGUUGUAGUGUGCAUUACUUUGGGCUAUAUGGAAUUGUUGGAAUGAUGUUUCCUUUAAUAGACAAGCCAUCGCAAUUUUUUUGCAGGUUAUCUUCAGGGCGUCUGCUUGGAUCCGUACGUGGUCGUUACUUAGCCAUGCGGACCACAUGGAGCUUAUGGAUAUUGGUGCAAUCGGUGCGAGAUGGUCGCACGGGAUACUUACAACUAAUUUGGAUGACAGUCCAAUAAUAGAAUAAGUGUUGUUUCAUCUUACCCUAUUUUAGCCGAUUGUGGAAACUUUUUUAAGCGCUUCGUUGGUUUGUUUGAGACCUUGUUUUGAACCUGAAACUUUAUGCAAUAAAUGGUUGUGUGCAUCAUGUGAUGCAUAGACCAGGGGUCUUCCUCCUUUUCAAAAAAAAUGUUUCGUAGAACUGGUAUUGGUCGAUUGCUUUAACUGCUUUUGUAUUUGUAUAUAUGAUUUAUCAAUGAAAAUUACUGUAGAACAAUUGUUCUAUGGUUUGCGGUUAAAAAGAAAAGUCAAUUUUCAUAGUAGCAGCUCACUACACUUGGCCUAGUAGUUUGCCAGCUCUAAUGUAACUAAAUGCACAAUACAGUUGGAUCAAAAUGUCGUACAGACGAGCAUCUGCUAAACUACUUUUGUCUUUGCGUUACAGUUUGCAGUUGCUGGUGAGGACUGUUAGAGAAUGAGCAACUACUCUUUACUGAGGGCCAAAGGCCAUUACAUAUACAUGUGUGGUAAAGUGCAGGAAACCCCUUAUACAAUGGGGAUAUACCGAAAACAGACUAUACACAUCUAACACCCCCCCCCCCUCAAACUUAUGGUGGACCAACAACACUGAGUUUGGAGAGGAAAAAGCCAUGCUGCGCUCGAGUCUGUGCCUUCGUGAAGAAGUCAGCCAACUGUAACUCAGAGGGCACAUAGUGAAGGGCUAGAGUCUGAUCCUGCACAACAACGCGCACAAAGUGGGCAUCCACACCGAUGUGCUUGGUGAGCUCAUGCUUCACCGGGUCACGUGCAAUCUGAUAGCACCGGUACUGUCUGACAGUAAAGGAGUCGAGGUAGUGGCAGACACACCAAAAUCCUUAAGUAACCACCGUAACCAGAUCACCUCAGCCGUCAACAUAGCCAUGGCUCGCAACUCAGCCUAUGUACUCGAGCGAGAAACUGCAGUCUAUUUCUUUGUCUUCCAGGCAAUAAGAGAGCCCCCGAGAAAGACACAGUAAGCAAGCAGUGAGCGUCGAUUAGAGGGAUCACUAGCCCAGGUAGCAUCAGAUUAGGCCUGGAGCUCAAGAGAGCUGGAGCGGGAAAAGAAAAAAUGCUGAGAGAUCGUGCCACGAAGAUAUCAUAGAACACAGAGGAGGUGACUAUAGUGGACAGAGGUGGGAGCUGAGACAAACUGACUCAGGAUGUGGACAGGAUAGGAGAUGCCAGGACACAUAACAGCAAGAUAGACAAGGCUGCCAACGAGGUGACGAUAGCGAGUGGGAUUAGGAAGAGGUUCACCAUCAGAGGCAUGAAGCUGAACGUUGAGCUCCAUAGGAGUCACAACAGUGCGCUCAUCACCGAGGGCAGCACGAGCAAGAAGAUCCUGGAUAUAUUUUUCUUGGGAGAUGUAGAAGCCAUCAGAGGUCGAGGAGAUCUCAAUCCCAAGAAAAUAGCGAAGCGGACCAAGAUCAGUCAUGAGGAACUGGUCGUGAAGGCGAGUCUUAACAAAGGCAAUGUAGUCAGAGUCGUCACCAGUGAUGAUCAUGUCAUCUACAUAGAGAAGGAGAAGUGUCCGACCACGAGGAGACGUGUGAACAAACAGAGUGGGAUCAUGAUCACUAGGCAAGAAACCAGCGGCAGUUACCACAGAGGCAAAGCGCUCAAACCAGGCGCGAGGGGCCUGUUUAAGACCAUAGAGGGAGCGGCGAAGCCUACAGACCAUACCAUCAGGAGCAUAGUACCCCGGUGGUGGCUGCAUAUAAACCUCCUCACGCAACUCACCAUUAAGAAAAGCGUUCUGGACAUCAAGUUGAGAGAUAGACCAAUGACGAACAGAAGCCACAACAAGGAGAGUGCGGACAGUGGUCAUGUGGGCCACAGGAGCGAAUGUCUCAUCAUAAUCGCGGCCCUGCUCCUGCUGAAAACCACGGGACACAAGAUGAGCUUUGUAACGCUCAAGAGAACCAUCAGAGCGAGUCUUAAUCUUGUAGACCCACUUGCAAGUGAUGGGACAAACACCGGAAGGGAGGGAAACCAGAUCCCAUGUGACAGAGCGCUCAAGGGCCGCAAGCUCUUCGGCCAUCGCAAGCUGCCAUUCAGGCUGAGUCAUGGCAGUCCGAUAGGAAGUUGGCUCAGCAAUAAUAGAGAGACCAUACCGAUUAGGAGAAUAGCGAUCAGGCGGGGGGCGAGACCGAGUACGGAGGUUAUGAACCAGAGGAGGCGUGAGAAAAGGUGCACCAAAGGUGGAAGGCACGUCAGGCGAGUCAGGAGAAGCACAGUACGAGGACGAUGAGUAUAGUGGAGUGGAAAUGGUGAGAGAGGGCGACGGACUAGAGAUGAUGGUGGAGAGGUGGAGGAGGAGGAUGGGGAAUAUGCUGUCGGUGGAGAAUGAGUGUGAAUGAGAGGUGCAGGAUGAAGAGGUGGAACAUGAGGCACAUAGCGGGGUGUCUCGGGAAGAAGAAGAAAAGAAAUAUCGUCUACAGAGAAGCUCGAGGAAGAAGAAUGUGGGCAGUAAGAACGAGACUCGUCAAAAGUCACAUCACGCGAGAUGCGCAAGCGACGACCAACAUGAUCCCAACAAUGGUAGCCCUUGUGCUCAUCACUGUAGCCAAGAAAAACACACUCAACCGACUGAGCAGUCAGUUUGGUGCGUUCUCGAGGGGCAAGAAGGACAUAGCACACACAUCCAAACAUACGAAGAGCUGAGUAGUCAGGAGAACAACCAUGAGACACUCCAUAGGAAUACCACCCUGCAAAGCAGUCGAUGGCUGGAUGUUGAUGAGAUGGGUGGAGGCAGAAACAGCCUCAGCCCAAAAGUGGGGUGGAAGAGAAGCGACAAUUAUCAGUGCACGAGCCGUUUCAAGCAGAUGACGAUGCUUACGUUCGGCAACGCCAUUCUGAGCAUGAGCACCAGGACAUGAGAACCGGGCAAGAGUACCCUGUUCCGCAAGAAAACCAUGCAACAGCUGGGAGAUAAACUCGCCAGUAGAGUCAACACAAAAAGUACGAAUGUGCGUGGAAAACUGGGUGUGAACCAUGGCAGCAAACUGUUUGUAUAUAGAGAGAACCUCGCCACAAGAAUUCAUGAAGUAAAGCCAAGUGUAGCGAGAGAAAUCAUCAAUAAACAGAACAUAGUAGCGAUGACCACCUUUCGAAUCAAAGGGAGCAGAACCCCAAACAUCAGAAUGAACUAAGUCAAAAGGAUGCUGAGAUACCGACUCACUGGUGGGAUAAGGAAACUGGGUCUGUUUGCCAAGUCUGCAACCAUUACAAUGUAAAGAAACAUCUCCAGAUACAGACCCUAAAAGGCCCUGACGAACUAACAAAGACAAGCGAGAGCCACAUAUGUGACCAAGGCAAUGAUGCCACUGCUGGAAUGACGCAGAUGAAGAGGCAGCAAGAGCAUGGGAGCUGGCAGAAGUGGUGGCAGCGGAAGGAACACAAAGCCAGUCAACCUCCCAAAGACCCUCUGACUCACGGCGCCGGGGGCCAGCACCAACCAAAGCCUUGGUGCAAUGAUCCUGAAUAGAGCAAGAGUCGGUAUCAAGAAUGACACGACAACCAGAAUCAGUAAGUUGGGCAGCGUAAAAAGAUUCAUGCUAAGACGAGGGACAUGUGAAACACUCGGAACAGAGAAGGAUGGAGUGGAAAGAAUACCACGACUAGCAAUAGGAAGAGAAGUGCCACCGGCGGUAAGAACAUUAACAGGCGAAUCAAGAGGUCGAAGAGAAGACAAUGCGGAAGAAUCAGAAGACAUAUGAAAGGAAGCUCCAGAAUCAAGAACCCACGAAGAUGUACCUGACUGUGUAGGUGGCUGCAAUGGUGAUGAAGGGGAUGCAGUCACAGCAGCAGCAAAACCAGUCGACGAGGAGCUGGAGGAAGCAAGUAGACGCUUGAGGCAUACAAUGUCCUGAUCAGUGAGUGAUAGAGUCGAGGAAGACAUAGGAGUCCCGCCGGAAGGGGAGCGCCUCUGGUCUCGCUUCAUCUAGCGACAAUCAGACUCUGGGUGACCUGACCGGGAGCAGUAACCACAGAAGAUGUCACAGCGUGAAGUGCCCUUCUUAGCAUAAGAAGGACGGCUUACCCCCCUGGAGGAGUAGGCAGGAGCGGCGGAGCGGUGAGGCAAGCAGAUGACACAGGGGCUCGGGCGGCCAGCACUGACGGAACCAAAAGCAACCCAGCAGAGUGAAGGCGAGUCUCCUCAGCACGAAGCUCAGCAAAUACCUCCGAGAUAGGAACAUGAUCACGAGCAAGCAGGCGGGUACGUCGAGGCUCGAACUUAGAGUGAAGACGAGAUAAGAACUCAUGAACCCGCUGAAACCCCAAAUCCAACCGUGUAGUCUGACAGCAACGACAAGUUCCACAAACAACUGUCCGAAGAGAGUCAAGCUGACGCCAGAUGGCAGAGCACUGGGAGUAGAACUCAUCAACAGAGGAAUCACCUUGCUGGAGUGCAUGCUCCUGACGCACUACAUAUAGGUAGAGAGCAUCACCAUAGGGCUGAUAACGCUGACAGAGAUAAGACCACAUCGCGGCAACGGUACCAAGUCCCAUGAACUCCAAAGCAAACUAAGGGUGGACGCUCGUAGUGAGAACAGAAGCAGCUCGAGCAUCAUCAUUGCACCACUAAGUGUAAACAGACAGAUCAUCCCGAUAGGCAGAAAGAGCAUCAGUAUAGGCGGAUACCUACUAAUCAUAAGCGUCAACUUCAGCAUCACCAAGAGCCUUGGCUGCAUCCCGAUCAGCCUGGGAAGCCUCAGCAGCAAGAACUUGCGGUAUCGGCAGGGUAGGUGCAACGGGAGCAACAGGACAUGGCAGACAGGGGACCUCGCCAGAUAGAACACCCCAGAGUAGAAGACCUCGCAUAUGGAUACGUAUGAAACCCACAAACUCAGCAUAGUUGGUGUCAUCGAAGAUCACCGAGCACCGAGGAACGGUCACAUAGCCUGAAGAAGACACGAGGAGCCUCUUUUUUUUGAAGUCAACGGAUCCAGAAACUGGAUCGGGAUCGGGCAGGAGACCCACGCGCGCGAAGCAGAGGCCCCCGAUUCAAGAUCGGGCAGAGGGCACGCUCGCUCGAGCGGGCGGAAGCUGAGCCCCCGAGCGAAGCAGCCCAGCCGGGGAUUGACCUGGGGCGGCGGCGCCUGGAGCGGCGGCCAAGCGAGAGCUGGGAACCAGAGGAACGCGGCCCGCUCAAGUCUUCGCGCUGGCUGGGCGGGAGCGACAGAACCGGAGCAAGGAACUGGAGCGGCGCGACCGGACGGGAGUAGCACGGCCUUCGCGCUGACAGAGGAGGCCAGCAGGGGCAGGUGCAGCCACAGCGGCCUGAAUAGGAGCAGGCGGUGGCGGAUGGUGCAGUAGCAAGCGAGAGCGGCCGGAAAAAUCGGCCGGAAUCGAGCGGGAGUGGCCGGAGACGAGGUGGGCUAGGAAGGAGGAGCACGGAGUUGCAUCGUGUAAGAGAGCAAGGCUAACCUAGCAUCUGAUACCAUGUUAGAGAAUGAGCAACUACUCUUUACUGAGGGCCAAAAGCCAUUACAUAUACAUGUGUGGUAAAAUGUAGGAAACACCUUAUAUAAUGGGAAUAUACCGAAAACAGACUAUACACAUCUAACAAAGAUACAUCUAGAUUACCUUUGGAGUGGAGGCACUCCAUUUUGGAAAGGUCAGGUCUGGUUAUUUAAGCCUCGUUGCUUGCUUCAGGUGAUUGCACCGAGAAGGUAAACUAAUUGGAUUCAUAGUACGGAGUACUAGAGAAUAUUCUCUCCGUCCGGAAAUACUUGUCAUCAAAAUGAAUAAAAAGGGAUGUAUCUAGAUGUAUUUUAGUUCUAGAUACAUCUUUUUUGUCCAUUUUGAUGACAAGUAUUUUCGGACGGAGGGAGUACUAGUAUUGUUCUACAGCUGCAUCAUCUUUUUAUCAUUGCUACUACUUGUAUUGCAAAUCUGACCUUCCCGCACAGGCCGGUUUGUCUCGGCGUGUUUCUUGAUAAACAUCCUUGUUGGAUUAGUAGGUACUGUCGAAAGUAGAAACGUUGUUAAAUCAGGCCGUGCCUAUCCCAGUUUCAAAAAAAAAACGUUGUUAGCUUUUGAAAACCGAGGAAAACAUUGUUUACCAAGCUGUGAGCUCUCAUGCCUAUCUGCCUUUUGGACCGGCGAUGUCGAUGCCCACAACAUAAAGCUGAAGCAGAUAUUUAUGAGCUCCAUAUGCAGGACGAUUCGGACAUGCGGGCCUGAGAAAGAAAUUACUUGUUUUGUGAUCAUGGUCGGCCCCAAUAUGAUUCCCAAAGACUAGAGCUUUGGUUAUCCCAGUGGAUUAGUCUUAGCCUAGGAAAAUGACAGCCUGCUACUACGCAGACCAAUUGUCUCCAUCCAUUGGUGUUACACAUACACCGGAAAAUAUCUAGGGGGAGAAAUAGUUUAGAAGCAUAGGACGACCGAAUAGAUGCCGUCACCAAUGAUUUGAGUAACCAAAAAAGGAGUUGCCAUCUGGGCGGGCGCACAGGACUAGACUAAAAGAUACUCCUAGAUAUUUAGCGAAUGGAUGAACAGUACAUGACUGUGGCUUAUUGCUCGUCGGUGGCGUGGAAAGACAAGGGUCUAGCUAUCAACCGUCCUUCAUGCUCACGGACUAGUAUUUUCGGAGGAUUUCAGUUGAAGCAUUUGGCGUGGAAUUGUAUGUUCCCGUGGGCAGCGGCUUCUGGACCUCAGAGCAACUCCAACGGGGCGACCCAAACGGACGCGCGUUUUGUUCGCUUUUUGUUCGUUUGGGUCGGCCAGGCGGACGCCGGCGUCCGCAUUUUAAAAUGGGUCGGCUUGAUCGCCUAACGGGGAGGCCGACCUAAAUGUGGCGGCGUGAAAAAAAAACAAGUUGCAUGAAAUAAACAUAAUUGAACAUAAAAGUGGUCGAUCAAACGCCGGCCAAAGUCCACCUACAUCUAAUAAACAUUAAAUAAAAACAUUAAAAAAAUAUGCGCCCGCCUGCUGCCGCCCCGCACGCUGUCCUAGACGUCGUCGGCCUUGCCUUUGCCCUUGACGUCGCCGUCGUCGGUGAGGUCGAUGAAGACCGGAGCAGGGCCAGCCCACCCGAACGCCGCCUGGUACGCUGCCAGGGCAGCCUCCUCCGGCGUCUGCUGGGGCGGCGGCAUUGCGGCAAGCCGCGCGCGCUCCUCCUCCUCCUCCUCCUCGAGCCGGAGCGCCUCCGCGUCGCGUUGGAGCAUGGCCUCGUAGCGCAUCUGCUCCUCGCCGUCGCCCUGCUCCUGGUGGAGCCAGUGCUCCUUCCAUCACUCGAGGUGGGCCGCCUCUUCCUCCGGCGUCGCGGCGAAGUAGACGGGAGGCGCACUCACCCACUCGCGGUACUGGCCGUCCACGAGUAGGCCUCCUCUGGCCAAGUGGGUGGAGGUGGGGAGCGCUUAGGCUCCGGCUCCGGCUUGGGUUGUACGGGCGGCGACGACGGAGGGGGCGGCAUGAAGAGCGGGGUGUGGACGGAGUCCCCCGCCGCCGACAGGGCAAGGGCUUGUUCCAGCCCAUCCCAGUGCUCGUCCUCCUCGAUGCGGCUAGCCUCCAGCGCAUGCUGCAGGGCCUCCUCGAGGGCGGCUUGGUACUCCGCGUCCGCCUCUAUGUCCUCCGGCUCUACUGCGGGGGUGGCGGUGGGAACGGCGGCGGGACAACGUCGACACCCGAGCGCCGUUGCUCCUCGUGUUCGAGGGUGAACCAAGCCUCCCAGUUAGGAGAGUCAGCGGCGUACUCGGGCAGCCGACGCUGCUCCGAUGUGAGCAGCGCGCGGCGCCGGCGCACCUCAUCGUCGUGCGCCCGCUGGGUCCGUGGAACCGCCGGCACCGGGAUCCGGUUUGGAUCCAAAUGCCAAUGGUGCGGCAGCGUCACGUCGGGGUAGGGGAGGGGCUGCCUGUACUCCCAGUGCCACCGCACUUGGUGCACCGGGAUGUGCAGGCGCCGGCAUCCAGGGCGGAAACGCGCCGGCGAUGGAGGGGGAGGGGGAGGGGGAGCACGGGAUGACGAGGCGCCGUGGGUGCCCUUCCCCUUGCCAUUGCUUUUGCCGAAGAGGCCCAUGGAGCGCGCUAGGGUUUGCGGUCGUCGGCGAGGAAGCAAAGGAAGUGGUGGGGGGCCAGAUAUGGACGGGAGAAGUGGAUGAGGCUGACCCCGCCGCACGCGUGGUUAAAAAAGGACGCGCGCAUUGGCUGACGCGUGGGCCCGCUAUCGGUGGUCGUCAUAAAUAAGACAAUCGGUGGCGGUUGGGUGGCCACCAGGUGGGGACGCGACGGACGGUGAGGAGACGCGCGGCGCGUCUGCUUCGCGUCCGCGCCGACGCAUUCCAGGCGUAAUUUUGGGCCGAAAAUGGGUCGUCGCGGACGCCGGGCGGACACGAUUUAAGUUUGGGUCGACGCGUUGGGCCGCCACUUUUGUUCGCACCAAUCCAAACAGAUGCGGGCGGACGAAAUGGGUCGUCCCAUUGGAGUUACUCUCACAAGAGCCCCUUUGAGCAAUCCAACACCCUGUCUCCGUCUCCGUCCCCGUCCACGUCUGUUUGGAUUGCUCAAAGGGGCCGCUCGGUUUGAACAACGCGUCAGUAGCCCGUCGAAGGGGAAUCCGAUGAAUAACAAGCUUGUUCCUAAUUGUCCAGAGCGUCCAGGCCAGGGCCCCUAUCACCAGCCACCUAAUGUGGCGGUGAGUAGGAGGCGAGGCCUGAAUUUCGGCGAAGAGGUUCCGGAAGUUGGUGUGGCACCAAUUUCCACCGAACGUCUCGUUUGCACAGCUCCACAGGAAUUGGGCCGAGACACAGGAGAAGAAAAUAUGGUUCGAGUCCUCAGGUGUUCCACACAAGGGGCAAAGCCCAUCGUCAGGGCCAUUGCGCUUACGCACCUCCACAUCGGACGGGAGGCGGCCCCAGAUUCAUUGCCACAAGAAGAUGCGGAUCUUUAGGGGUAUAUGGAUAGUCCAGAUCACCUCGAAGGGGGGUGGGGCGGGGGUUGCCACAAUGGUGCGGUAUAGGGACCGCGUGGAGAAACGGCCCGAGGCCUCAAGGCGCCAGGACACACGGUCGGGCUCAGGCGAGAGGGCCAGCUCAUGGAGGGCCACAACGUCAAGGAGAUCGUGCCAGGAAGCUAGUUCCACGGCCCCAAAAGGGCGGCGAAAGGCGAGACGCCCUAAGUCAAGAAGGGCCAUCUCGACCGAGACUCGAGGGUCAACGAUAAUGGAGAAUAGAUCCGGGAAGUGGGCCGCGAAAGGGACAUCGCUGACCCAACGGUCGAACCAGAAGAGGGUGGCCUCGCCCGUGCCAACCGAAAUGGAGGUACCAAUGCGCAGGACAGGCAAGAGCUGAAUGACAGAUUGCCAAAACUGUGAGCCGCCGGACCGUUGACAGAACGUAAGGGGCCGGCCGCCGAGGUAUUUAUUCUCGAUUAUUUGUAGCCAAAGGCCGCCAUCUCCAUUGGCGAUGCACCAAAGCCAGUGUGUCAAGAGGGCAACGCUUAUCCGCUUGGAUGACACGAUGCCCAGGCCACCCUGGUCCUUGGGCUUGCAGAUUUUAGACCACCGCACCAUGUGGUAUUUCUGCUUGUCUCCGUCACCCGCCCAAAAGAAGCGGGCUUGGAUCGUACCGAUCUCAUGGUGCAGUGUCUCAGGCAGACUAUAGAAGCUCAUGAUGAAGAGCAGGAGACUGGUCAGGGAGGAGUUGAUCAGGAUGGUGUGCGCCGCCUUAGAAAGCCACCGGCCCUGCCACGGCUCAAUGCGGAGGCUGAGUUUGCCCACAGAAGGGUGCAAGUCAGCGACCGUGAGGCGGGAGUCACUAAUGGGGAUCCCCGGGUAAGAGGUGGGGAAGGAGCCAAGCCGACAGUUAAGGUAGUUGGCUAUCCCUUGGGACUCAUCCGGAGAAUAUCCCAAAACCAUCACUUUGCUCUUAACAAAGCUAAUCUUGAGCCCCGAUAGCUCCUGGAAGCAGAGGAGGUGGAAUUUGACAUUCGUGAUGUCGCUACUAGAGCUCUCCACCAUAAUGAUGGUGUCAUCAGCGUACUGGAGGAGGGACACGCUGUUUCCGCCCACCAAGUGGGGGACAGUCCCUCGAAUGUGUCCGACCACCUUGGCUUUAUCCAGAAUAGCAGCCAAAGCAUCAACCACCAUGUUAAAUAGGAACGGGGAGAAGGGGUCACCUUGUCUUACCCCACAGAAGGUGGGGAAGUAGGGACCUAUCUCGUCGUUGAUAUUAGCCGGGGUCUGACCCGAGGACACCAUCUGUAUGACCCUGGUUACCCAGCGGUCGUCAAACCCCUUCCACAGCAGGACUUCCCGAAGGAAGGGCCAGCUCACCGUAUCAUAGGAUUUGUGGAAGUCAAUCUUCAGGAAAACGGCUUGGAGACCUCUAGAGCGGACCUCAUGCAACACCUCGUGGAGGACCAAGACGCCAUCCAGGAUGAAGCGACCCUGGAUGAAGGCAGACUGGUCCAGGUGGGUGAUGCGGUCGGCCAACGGGGUCACCCUAUUGGCGUACCCCUUGGCCAAGAUGAGAAAGAUCACAUUAAUCACCGUGAUGGGCUGAAACUGUCGGAUAUCCGUAGCCCCAGGAACCUUGGGGAUAAGGGAGAUGAUCCUGAAGUUAAGGUGCCGGAGAUCAAUGGAUCCAACAUAGAAUUCCUCGAAGAGGGCCAUGAUCUCAGGCUUGACUACAUUCCAGAAAGUCUGGAAGAACUUGACCAGGAGAAAGAUAUUACUUAGUCGACCGUGACCUUGGACGCUUUCCCCUCUCCCGCUACAGUAAAGGCGAAUUUCUGAACCCGCUCGGCAUCUUUGGCGGUGGAGCUUGGUGUAGCUUCAUGGCGUCCGCCUUCCUCGCCCUCGCGGUCCCUGGUGGCCGCCGUGUGCGUUUAUCCCCGCACUGGAGCUCGACGCGGCGGCUCCAGAUUGAGAUCUUGAAGCAAGUGGUGUUCAAGCAAGGCAGCGUUGCGACCGGAGGAGCGGGAUGGACGCUCUCCGGAGUUCGAGGAUCGACGACUUCCCGUCCGCCAGGGGACAUUUUCUGAUCCAAGGCUCGUGUGAAGAUACGGCAGCGGCGCACUAUCAGAACUGCUGUUCCUCGUCAGUGGUUCCACUUUAAGGGGGACUUGGUUGUAAUUUGUAUCUUUGUGGAGGUCCUUUCUGUAAAAUCCUUGCUUUAAUAUAUCAGUGGUUUCCCACAAAAAAAGGAGGAGACAGAGUUUGUUACAACACACAACCAAGAAUUGGCAUGACAAUUAUUCUCGCAAGAAACUUUGAAAAGGUUAGUGCUGAGACCCGUAUAUUUUUUUCUCGAGAGCUACUCGUUCAUUUUACCACGAAAUUUUGCCGCCACUUAGCGCUCCGAGCACUUUAGAUGCCGAAAAAUUUCAAAUUUUACUUUUGGCUUUUUGAUGGAUUUACUAUUCAUUGGGAGCAUAUGAGCUUGGGCUUAGUCGUGAAUUACCGUUUUUCAUUUGUUAUCUAUAUGAAAGGCCAGUGCUCUUACCCUACUCCGAAAAAAAUAAUACUUAGGGCAUCUCUAACCGAUCCCUCAAAAUUUAGGCCCUCAAGAGCCUCCUUACCUUAACUCCUCAUAUUUGAGGAUCUAAAAAAAUAUAUGUUUCCUAGCCCAAAUCUUAAAUUUAACUCCUCAAUCUUUUUUCACAUAACUUUAUUCAAACAAAGAUUAAAAACAGUCCAUUCAAACAUACAUUUCGAUUCAAACUGCACUUAAUGACAUGAAAUUUCAACUACAUUGGAUAAACUACUUAAUUUAAAAAGAAAUAAAAAAAUCCUCCUCUUUCAUGAGCGUCUCCCAAUCCACGUUAUCGUCGUAGUGGUCGCCGGACCCGGAGCUGGAGUCGCCGGAGCAAAGGUCAAUGACCUCACCACAUGACGGCCCAGCCUCGUUGGUAGCCCCUUCUUGUACAUCUCGAGCAACCGGCGCUCCUCGCCAACGAGCUCCGGAUGCAUCAGGCGGAGCUUGGUGAUGUACUCCUCAUCAAGGCGCGCCAUCUCAAGCCGCUCAAAGGCCUCCCGGUUCUCCCAUACCUCGCGGCAGGAGACCACUCGAGGGUCGAUGUCUAUGAACGGUAGGACCGCGCGGUUGCCAAAUGGGAAAUUCAUGUUCUCACUGCCUUCAUGUCGUACCCCCUAGCGACAAGUCCUGCCCACUCGAAGGAGCCAAGCCAGUACCAGUGGCUAGUGUCCCGGUCCAGUAUACUUCCUCUUAGGCGGCGGUGGCGGCAGGUUGGUGAAGGAGUGGGAGUUGUCGCCGGCGCGAACUCGGGUUGGCUGCACGCCAUGGCAUGGAUCCACGGUUCGAAUCGGCAACAGCGACCUCCGACGAUGAGAUCCUGCCGUUUAGGGGCGGCGCCGACCAAUUGGAAGCAUCAGUGGGGGUGGUUGCGGUGAGGGCGGGCCGGAGGGUGGGGGUGGGUGGGUGGGGAGGAGUUGCGGGGUGGAUAUGGGCGGCGUCGGAGUGGAUGUGGUCAAGGCGGAAAGAGGUGGCUGCUGGGAGGAGAUUUUUUCCUAAGAAGUGGGGUCGGUCAAGUAAAUAUAAGCGGCGGCCGAUGAGAAGAGUAAAGGUUUUUAGGGGCUAAUAUCGAUAAGAAAUCGGCCACGUCCGGUUCAAGCCCCCAAAACCAAAUCUUUACUUCUCUAACUGAUUUUGAAGGAUUGGCCAGAGAUGCCCUUAAUUUCCUUCUAGACAUGUGGUCAUGCCAUUGUAAUUAAAGCAGAUAGCCGACGUAAAUGCUAGAAAUGUUUACAUGUAAAAGAACAAGGAUUUACAUGUAAAAGGACUAUAUAAUUUGCACGCUCUCAAUACCAAAAUAUCAACUGAACAUAUUUGUAUCGAAAUGGAAAUUUCAUCUGAUACAAUCAAUAUUUAGAAUAUGGAGAGCCUAUUUCCCAGUACAAAUGUUUGUACGAAAAAUUUGAGAGCCCGUGGAAAACCGGAGCCUCGCAAUCGCCUAGUGGCGAGGUUGAUCAUCACAUCGGGGCCCGAGGAAGCGUCCAAUAUAGAGCCAGUGCAAAUCCUUGUUCUUUCCAUUUCGAAUGAGACUUGUGAUGCAAGGCGACUAAACAAAGUAUUUUUGACCCGCUAAGAACGCAAAACAAUACGAGUAGUAAAUAUUGACGAACUAGCCCCUGCUGGGACCCUUGUUCAGCGGGUGCAAAGUCGGCACCCUUUCGGGAAUCGGAGAAAGAUCCCACCGUGGAGCGCCUAUAAAUACCUCCUAGCGUGGUAUUUGCGCAUCCAAUACUAUUUCUUCCUCCCCACUCUCCCACUACCGCCGCUCAUCUUCGAUUCUUCUCAGAACCUUCCUGCAAGACUUUGUUUCAUGGCUUUUCUACCGGCGCGGUUCUAAUCUCCUCUGCGUCUAUAGAAUUCCAGUCUGGAUCAAGUAUGUUUCUAGCUUUCUACCGCAUAAUAUGUUUGCCUUUAAUAUAUGCUUUAUGAUUUUAAUCUCGGUUUACGAUUUUGGUAUGUUCCAAUCUCUCAAGAGGUUAGGAGCAGCAAGGAUUUGAAACUUUGACGUGUAUCUUGUAGAAACCUCAGCGUUUUAAUUGCAUCUUUCCUUGGCUCUCCGUACCCAUAAUACUAGUGAUUGCACAACCGCCGAAGUACUCUUUUGAAUUCCGUUGAUUCGGAUCUGUUAUUUUUCGUAGAUAUGCAUGCAUAGCUUUGUCUGUUGUUCCGCUAAAUAUCUGAACGAUUUGUUUGGUCGGUACUGUACAAAUUGUUGAGUUUUUUUUGUCUGCAAGCGUUUGGAGCUUUUCAGAUAUUUUUCUGUUCGUUUGCAAUUGUACGUACUAGAUGACUGUGGCAUGAACGGGACCCAGUAACUAGAUCAUUUUCUUUUGCCAUAUGUUCUAGAACAAAUAGUUUUCUCUUCUAGAACAAGGAUGUGAUGUUCACAGAUCAUGUUCCAUAUCAUGCAGCUCUCUCUGCCUUGAUAUGUUUGUUCAAGGCAACGAGAAACACACACAUCUGGAUAGUUCAGACCAAAAGAUGAAUGAAAAUAAUCAUAGUUCAUAAGACUAUUUUCAACAGACGCUCAAAAAAAGCUCUGCACACUAAAAGUUUGUUUUUUUGGCACGGAACAGCUCCAGCAGACGCCGUAGCGCUAAAAGAUUUAGAGCGCGCGCUGAAAAACGCUAUCGCGCGCAGCAUAUUUUGGACUCCGGAUUGCGCGCGCUUCAUAAUUUGUGCACCUGCUAAAGCAAUGUUGGUCCCGGCGCAUUAAAAAUACUACAAUGGGGCGCUAAAACUUUUAUUGGGCGCGAAAUUUUUGUGCGGCCGUUGGAGAUGCUCUAAGAAAUCUAAUCUAUGCAACAAGAUUGCUAGUGCUUGCCCUUAUUUUUCUUUUCUUUUUCUUUAAGAGGCAAGAAUUCGCUUUUUGGAUUCUUCUGGAAAAUAAUAAAUACCAUUCAUAUGCAUAAAAACUGGAAAGUUUGCCUCGUUCAAGUGUUUUUUUUUCUUUAUAUUAAAAACAAUUAUAAACUAUUUAGUAGCUACGUACCUAAUCAUUCAUGUAUUUCCUCGCAGUAUUAGGCUUUCAGUGCGAAGGAAAAUAUCUCCUUCACAGGAAUGCCGGAAGAUGUGCAUGCGUGCUAGAGGGCUACCUUGGUUGGGAACUGGCAGUCUAGCUUUUGAAGAUACUGAAAUACAACAGUUGCUCCAUGGGCAUACGCAGGAUGAUCCAUGGACCACCUACCAUCUUGGUGAAGAUGGUUGAAACGAAUUGAUCAUCUGCAGGUCUUGUCCACAUCAUUGAGUGCCCCUGAUCAGUUCUGAUCACCUCAAGUUACAACAUCACUGCCUUUUGUGUACAUAAGAUCUGGCCAGGAUGGCAGAGAAGAAGGGAAAUAUCUUGAUGGAGAGAUAUGAGAUGGGAAGACUGCUGGGGCAAGGGAGCUUUGCUAAAGUUUACUAUGGUCGUAAUCUCAAGACUUCACAGAGCGUUGCCAUCAAGGUGAUUGACAAAGAGAAGAUAUUCAAGUGCGGGCUUAUGGAUCAAGUAAGGCGAGAGAUAUCUGUAAUGAAGUUGGUGAAACAUCCAAACAUUGUCCAAUUGUAUGAGGUGAUGGCCACCAAAACCAAGAUAUUUUUUGUGCUGGAGUAUGUGAAGGGGGGCGAGCUGUUCAACAAGGUCCAACGAGGAAGGCUGAAAGAAGAUGUUGCUCGCAAGUACUUCCAACAGCUCAAUAGUGCAGUUGACUUCUGCCACAGCCGAGGCGUCUAUCACCGUGAUUUGAAGCCUGAAAAUCUUCUUCUUGAUGAGAACCGCAAUUUAAAGAUCUCUGACUUUGGUUUGAGUGCACUUGCAGAAUGCAAGAGACAAGAUGGGCUGCUUCACACAACUUGUGGUACCCCUGCAUAUGUUGCUCCGGAACUGAUUAGUAAGAAAGGAUAUGAUGGUGCAAAAGCUGACAUCUGGGCUUGUGGAGUCAUCUUGUAUGUAUUGUUGGCUGGUUAUCUCCCUUUUCAGGACAAGAAUUUGAUGGACAUGUAUAAGAAGAUUUACAAAGCAGAGCUCAAAUGGCCAAGCUGGUUUUCUUCAGAUGCCCGGAGGCUUCUGAGACGUAUUCUUGAUCCGAACCCUGGUACACGGAUCUCCUUUUCAGAGAUCUUGGAAAAUUCUUGGUUCCGGACAGGCCUUGACAAGGGACUGAUUACCUAUAACACACGAACGGAGGGCAUUGUUGCUGUUGACAUGGAUCCGACUUGUGAUCCGUUCAGUAGCUGUACGACCGAGACAAUACAAGAAGCAACAGAGCUCACUAACUUGAAUGCUUUUGACAUCAUUUCUCUUUCUUCUGGGUUUGAUCUCUCUGGCAUGUUUGAGGAUAAGUCCAACAAAGAGUCAAAAUUCACAUCUACCAACACAGCUGCAACAAUCAUCACAAAGCUUGAAGACAUUGCAAAGCGCUUGCGGCUAAGACUCAUUAAGAGAGACGGUGGGUUGUUGAAGAUGCAGAGCUCGCAACCAGGAAGGAAAGGCGUAAUGUCCAUAGAUACCGAGAUAUUUCAGAUUGCACCAAAUUUUCAUCUGGUGGAAAUCAGGAAGACCAAUGGUGAUACUCUCGAGUAUCAGAAGGUUGAACAUGAUAUGAGACCGGCUUUGAAAGACAUUGUUUGGGCUUGGAAAGGUGAGCAGCCCUAGUAAUAGUGUGACUACUGAGUAAGCGUAGAAAUUGCAAGAAUGUGCAAUGUUUACAUGUUGGAAUCAAUAAUGUACUUAUCUAAUUUUUGUAGGUAGUUUAAUGUUUUUUNNNNNNNNNNNNNNNNNNNNNNNNNNNNNNNNNNNNNNNNNNNNNNNNNNNNNNNNNNNNNNNNNNNNNNNNNNNNNNNNNNNNNNNNNNNNNNNNNNNNNNNNNNNNNNNNNNNNNNNNNNNNNNNNNNNNNNNNNNNNNNNNNNNNNNNNNNNNNNNNNNNNNNNNNNNNNNNNNNNNNNNNNNNNNNNNNNNNNNNNNNNNNNNNNNNNNNNNNNNNNNNNNNNNNNNNNNNNNNNNNNNNNNNNNNNNNNNNNNNNNNNNNNNNNNNNNNNNNNNNNNNNUCUCAGUUUUGUAACCCAACGUUUGCUUGAUUACAUUACAAAGGUGAACUACAUAAGCACGUGUAGUCGUGAGCAGAAGUAGGAACACCAUGAGUGGGUGGCCUGUUUAUGCGCCGGCUUCCUCAUCCGGUGCGUCCAAAGCAUAAGGUCAUCGAGGAUUCGCUUCAAGGUGAAAAUGCUAUGGUGGUUCUGUUGCUUGAAGGUCAUAGCAUUUCUGGAGUCCCAUAUCUUCCAUAGGAUGAUGAGAAGUACGGAAUGCCAGAUUCUUGCAUCAACCUGGCAGGGGAGGUGGCAGUCCCACAGUUCAUGAAUGGAGGUGGGAGGUGAGAGUCCAAUCCGUUGCCAAAUUCGCUGAGCGAGUGGGCAAUCGAUGAAGAUGUGAGAGCUGGUCUCGCCGUCAAAACCGCAUCGUGGACAUAGAGAGUCUGCGACGAUGUGCUUGCGAAGGAGGUUGCAUUUGGAGUUGAGACGUCCACGGAACAGGAGCCAUGCAAAGAUCUUCACGCGGUUUGGGACGCAUGUAGACCAGAUGGCAACGGCGUGCAUGUCAUCUUCAUUUUCGCCCAUGGUCAGCUGGUAGGCGGCCCGCGUGGAGAAGCGGAGGCCACCGUUAAGGAAGCGCUGGUCCGGUCCUGGCGAUAUCUGGAAAUCCUGCAAGAGAGACAACAACGAACACAACUCAGAAGCGGCAUUAGUUGUUAGGCGGUUCCGUAGGAUUGAUUCUAAACCGAUAUUCAAAACCGCAGCCACACGAGUGAGAGGUGUGGUGGUAUGCGAAUAUAGGCAGGGAAAUAGAGUAGCAAGCGAUUGCUGGUGGAGCCAUGUGUCUAACCAAAAAUAGGUGUUGGUACCGGAGUUUGUGAUAACAAAGGAGAUGUCAUGUAGUGCUGGUAGUUGCUGGUUUAUGAUUCGGCAGAGGAAAGAGUGGCUGUUUUGUGGAGUGAUAAGGGCAUUUGGGUGUUGCAAGGUGAUCCAUUCGAGCCAAGGGUUUUGUUCUGGAAGCAAAGCUUUGACAGCAAAUUUCAUUAGAAGACAGUUAUUCUGAACAUGGAGAUUUUUUAGGCCCAAGCCGCCGAUCUUUUUUGGUUUACAAACAUUUUUCCAGGCAACUAAGCAUUGAGCACCGGUGCAUGUUUCCUCCGCAACCCAGAAGAAGGCUCGCCGGAUAGAGUCUAGAGUUUUUAGAACACUUUUAGGAAUGAGGAAGAUGGACAUAAAGUAUACCAGGAUGGAGUCGAGAACGGCAGACAGCAAAAUGAGCCUGUCUCGUUUGGAGAGAAGUUUGGCUCGCCAUCCUGUCAGGAAUUUUUGGCAUCGUUCAAUAAUGGGUAAAAAGGCGUUAGGCGGGAGACGGGUAGGAGCCAGGGGUAGACCUAGGUAGAUUUGUGGAAAGGUUGAUGUUGUGCAUUGUAGAGUGGCGGCAAUGGAGUCCGCAAGUCUGGGGCAUACAUGCAUAGGCACCAACGUUGUUUUUGUGAAGUUUAUCAUGAGGCCGGUGGCCAUGGCAAAGUUGUGAAGAAUGUUUUUUAGCUGCAGGGCCGCGUCGUUGGACGCUUUUGCGAUAAUAAGUGUGUCGUCCGCAUAUUGUAGGACUGUCGGUGGUAAAUGUGUGAAUAGGGGAUGUGUGAGGUGUAGGAGGUCGCGGUAUUGAUUGAUCAUCUAUUGAAGGAGGUCAGCAACAAUGAUGAAUAGAUAGGGUGAUAUGGGGUCUCCUUGUCUAAGAGUGUUAUUGCAGUUUAUCCAGUUCUCCGGAAUACCGUUUAGCAUGACGGCCGUUUUUCCAGAUAAGAGGAGAUCCUGGAUUCAGGCUGUAAAUUUUGGCGGGAAUCCAUGGCAGUGUAGGAUGGUGAGAAGUGAUGCCUAAGAGAGGGAGUUGAAGGCUUUGGAGAAGUCUAGUUUAAUGAUCAUGGUUGGGGCUUUUCGGGAAUGGCAGGCCCCGAUGAGGUCUGCGGCGAAGACGAAAUUUUCAGCGAUGCAACGUCCUGAAAUGAAACCAGUCUGGUUUCCAUGUACGAGUAACGGGACAAGCGGUUGGAGUCUGUUGGUGAGGAUUUUUGCGACCGCUUUGAUGGGGCAAUUUUGAAGAGAAAUCGGACGGUAAGCGUCAGGCGUAUUUGGGAGGUCUUUUUUUGGCAGCAAGAUUAGGUGAGCUCUAUUUAAGCAUUCAGUUUGGGCAGAGAGGUUUUGGAAAUCGGUCAUAAAGGAGAAGAUGUGUUUUUAACUAGAUUCCAGUAUUUUUUGUAGAACUGGGGGCCGAAGCCGUCUGGUCCAGGACUAGCGAGGGAGUUCAUUUGCAUAAAAGCCUCUUUGAUUUCACUGUCAUGUUUUCACUGUCAUGUUUUCAUUAUGAGAUGCUACUUCUAUAUUGAGCAUUAUUCAAUUGAAAACAUGACUAUUUUAACUUUGGUACUUGCUAUUAUGGAUUGGAGAAGAAUCUGCAUCAUUGGCGUUUUUCUUUUUCUCUUUAUAUUCUUUAUUGGGCCUGUUUUUCUUCAAUAUCUUUUUCGAUAAAGGAUGUUUUGUUACUUAAAAGGUUUUUCUUUACUAUCUAUUCUAGAAAAACAUCAUGCGAAAAAUACCAUAGAUGCUACGUGAAAUAUUGAUUUUGUGGAACCAAAUUGAUGCAAGCAUUAUUUCUUAAAUCGUGCUGGGACACUGAUUUUAUGCAAAGGUUGAAGGCCCCAUCUGGCACCAAUGGUUCAGAAAACUAUAUGAUGCCAAACAAGUGGACAAUUAUUCCCACUAGUAUGACAGGUUAGUCUCACCUUGAGGCUCCAUCCAUCCAGGGUCAUCAAAUAUGACGAGGCAUGGAACACUUCAGAAACAUCUAGAUCAGAGAUGACUGUCAUGCACUUUGGACAGGCUGCAGCAAGAGGCAAAGGCAUGACGAUAUCUGCUGCAUCCAGCUGUUGACGCGGGCAUGCUGUGGUGAAGAGUUAGGCCGGGGUGAAGACCUGCCGUCGCCGAGACGGAAAUAUCUUGUGUGUGGCUGGCCGCUGGUGAUAGCAAGUGGUGUGCCGUUCCAUGGACUGAAGCAGCUUGCGUGCUGAUGCUGCGGCCUUUGCUUUGCCCGUAGAUUUUCUUGCGAUCGCGAAAGCAAGGCGGACGAACGAUGCCACCACAUAUCUAUUUAUUCAUUGUCCGACGCCUUUUUGAUUACCCAGGGCAUCUUCAACGAAGAUCCUUAAACCACCUGCAACCCUUUAAACCAUACUGCGCUCCACUGGCUUCGUCGGCAUUGGCCGCAGCGGCGGUCCGCACCGAGUAGGAGGAAGUGUAGCGGCUUCUACGCGAGCGGCACACAAAUGGCCGAACAAGGCUGGCGCGGUGGACCGGUGCCCUGCCGGUGGUGGAGGGACAACGAUGAUGACAACGCCACGGACGGAGACGGUGGUUGGCUAAGCAAGGAGGUAACACGUACGAGGUGGUCGUGCGGUACGAGUUGUAGGUUUUUUUAGUGUUAUUAAGUAAAACGGCCGAAAUAUCAGUCGUUUAUGUAAAUUAUGAAUAAACUGAAAUGAAUUCCGUCGUGUUUGAUUAAAUUCCGUCUGAUUAUUUCAAAUAGUAAAAAAUAUGCGACUAGUUUUGGAUGGCCGGCUCCUACAUCAGUGUCCCUGAAAUGACCAUCCUAGUCUAUAAAUGGAUGCGAUGUCUAAAUUGCGAGUCAGCAUUGGAGAUGCCCUAGCUACCAACUACCAGGGGACUGAGAAUGGAAAAUCCUGUAUUACGCUCCUUGCGUGAAAGUGUCGGACCUAUACACUCGAGCUUCUCAGCACGAGAGUUUGGACCGACCCAAUAUACCACUGCGAGGCAGCCAGUUUCGGAUACCUUCUAGAAGGUUUUGUGAACCGAUUAUUUUGUUUCUUUUAACGGUUUUCCGACUUCUUUUGGGUUUUAUUCAUUUUCUCUUUUACCUUUUCUUUUUUGUUUUCUUUUUUACUCUUUUCUAUUUUUUUCUUGUUCUGUUUUUCUUUUCUUAUUUUCUUUUUAAAAAAUAAUUCAUGUUUCCAAAAACUGUUUUCAAUCUUGAAAAAGUCUUCAAAUAUUAUUCAUGAACCAAAAUUUUAAAUUUCCAAAAAUGCUCAUGCUUUUAAAAAAUUGUUCAAGUUUAUGGAUAAUGUUCCCGCUUUUCAUAUUUUGUUAAACUUUUAAAAGAAAACUGUCUUUUCAAAUUUUGUUCAUAUAUUUGAAAAAUGUUUGCACUUUGAAAAAUUGUUUAGAAGUUAAAAAUUCCUGAUUGUGGGUCAUAAACUAAAAAAAAA